rnacentral:lncRNA from 1 species
CCUCCACAUGACGUAACUAACCAAAAGAUAAGGGAAUAAAACUUCUGCAAAAACAACAGGGGAUAAAACCCUGAGUAUGGAAUUACUCAGCAAGACUUACCCGACUAAAGAAAAGACUCUCAAGGGUAUGCUAGCUGAUUGGGAAUCAAGGUAAAGUGUAUCAAUGAUCAAAGACUCUUUUUUUGCAGAAAAGCUUGCUACCAGUUGAUCCUUAAGCCAAGUUUUAUUUCACUAGUUAGGUUAUUACCUAAAUCUAUAUUUGCCUGGUCUAGUUCAAGCACUUGGCCUAUACUAGUUGCAUUUUAUUCAUUCUCAUAUUUCACUUGCUAACUACGAUGAUGGUCACCAGGAUGAGUCUCCAUAACCGAGGAGCAACGACGAUUCGAACCGAUUAUACCCAGCUGGGGAUCUCUAACCACACGACAUAUGUAGCACUUAACCCUUGCAUAUGUCAACCGUUCCCACGGAGUCCUCCACUACAUGAACAGGUCCACGCCACCUGAGAGCACAUUACCUACCAGGCGUGCGCUGUGCCAGGAGGGUACAUGCUACUCUCGCCAUCUCUCCACUCCUAGUGCAUGAUUGUCUCUUCACGUAUGGAAUAGUCGGGUUCAAGCUUACCCUGUCCCAUACCAGGGUAUGUGGCUAGUUGCAAAGUCUCAACCACAACAGGCCAGUCAACGGUACGGUCCUUAAUCAACACAGACGGGCGACCAUGUCAGCUCAGCGUCUGGUCUCGAUUUAUUCAAACCAUUUCCCCAUUUUUGGUACCCGGCAGGGGUACUCUUUUCGAAUGAUGAACCCAUCCGGAGCCUUGAUGGACUCAUCAUCAUAAGUUUUCUUUCACUUUUGAAUCAAAAGCCCAUAACCAAUGUUACACAUUAUUCUUUUGAAAAACAAAUGAUUUUUGAGUUUCUAAGCAGGACUAAGCAGUAAUAAUUCUUUUUAUGAAACAGGGAUUUAGGAAUUUUCAAGGAAUGAUAAUGCAUCAAUUGUUUAUCACAUAACUCCUAUCACCUAAUGCAUCAUAUCAGGUGAUAAAGCAUUUAAAACGCAAGGAAGGGGCAAAUGCACCGGGGCUUGCCUUAUUACAGUAGGAAAUCUGAGAUCUUCUAUUACGAUAAGCAGUUAGAUGGAAUCCACCACUGGAUCAGCAGAACUAGAACAGGCUCCUUCUUCACAAAUCACUUCUUCUUGGUACUCUAUAUGAAAUGUCAUGAUUAUGAAUGCCUGUGUCUAUGCUACUAGCAAGGAAGGUAUUACGAAGCAUUACGAAAUUACAAUUACAAGCUAUCACCAAAAGCCAUAACUACCAGGGAGCUACUUAUCCUUAGAACUCAUCUAACCAUCCAAAACAUGCUAAACAACUUCAUUUUACACGAACACAUUAGAUGCCCAUUUUUCUCGGACUUUCUCCCACAUUUACGUAUAUAUCCGAACCAUACCUGCUCUAACACGCGGAAAGCCGAUGAAGCGAGAGAACCACAUGGAGAAAGUAUGCCGAGCAUGACGGCCUGCUGGGCAUGAGGAACUGCAUGAGAAGACGACACUAAUAAAUACUAAGUACACGGCCGACAAUUCCAAACAUAUAAAAAUCGACGACGUACCAGCGAGACAGGCAGCUAGCAGCUUUACGAUGACACCGCGAGCACGACGAGGUCGGAAGAGAGGCUGUGGGUCAAGGAAAUCAACGACGCGAAGGAGCUGCGAGGUUGAGCGUGGCCGAUGAGGAGACAACAACCAUGAGCAUGUUGCAGCUCACAGCAUGAUGGGGAACUGCGGCAAGCACAACAAGCAAGGCUGCACGACGAGCGUCGGCACGGCGUGGAAGCUGCAGGACGACGUCAGCCCUCACCAACGAGGUCGGCGGAUGGCAAAGCGUGGAGUUGGAAGACGGUACCAGGCCGGCGAGCUGGAACGUGUGCGAUGGAGCAGCGACAGAUGGUCGGUCGAGCGCGUGAGGAAGCAGCUCAAGGCAUGGAAGAGCAGCAACAGCGCCCAAGCCAGCGUGAGAAGGGAGCUCGCGUCCAGGCUCAGUAUCUGGGACUUGAGCACAGGGUACAAGGCGAAGGCGAGUGCUAUGCGCUAUGCGUGAGAGUUCAAUUGGAGCACGUUCACUGAAAGAAAUAUCUGAAGCCGAGAUAGAGAGAGAGACGUGAGAGAUUUCUAGAGAGUGUACGUGUGCACCGGAUAAAAGAGAGAACGUUGAGAGAUGCAACUAGAAUGGAUAGGAAGGAGCGCUUGAAUUAUCUAGACGAGAGAAAUGAUGUGGAGAUAAGGAAGAGAAUAAAGAAUUUCAGAGAGACGUUUCAGAGAGUGGACGUCUGCACCAAAUUGCAUGCCCCAAACUGAUCCAAGUUUCAGUUAUCAGCACCUGAAUCCCACACUUCUUCGACAGAACCCCCAUCUUAAUCCCCUUAAAUCUCACGAUUCCAAAUGAUAAUAGUGAACAGACCAUAACAUAAAUUGCUCUCCGAACAUCCUUCUACAUCUUUGCUGCAGAAUUCCUAGUCCAAAACCCCACGGAUUUGGUACUAUAAACCUCCAAAAUUGAGCACAAAUUCACAAAAACUCAGUUUGCAGCUAACUGAACCAGAGUUCAGACCAUACCCAACUGACGGAGGAUGUUUAGGUGCAGUUUACUCUCAGAUUUGUACAGCAUUAAGCCUAUCUAUCCUUAGAAAACUUGCUCACCUUACUUUGGUCUCCAAGUUUGGUACAGAAACUACGGUCUAAAACCACUCACAUUGAUCACAAAACUGCUCUAAACUAGGAAUUCCACAUUGAAAUUCAGAUUUCAGAGACAGAAUAAAAUUCAGCCCAAAUAACUUGACAGUCCAAUUUUGAGUAAUUUUUACUCCAUGUUCCGAGUCAGAUCAAGCCUAACUCACACAACGAAAUUUGUUCACUGACAUAUGCUCUUCAACUCUUCCAUAGCAAACAUGGUCCAAAACUGCAUAGAACAGGCAGCACACAGCCCCAAAACUGCACUAAAAACACUGAUUUCAGACUUAGGCAACUAUUCGAAGUCUGAAAAUCUAGAAGUCUGAGAGUCCUACUUUGAACACCUUUUUAUCCUAGUUGCAUAUGGUUUUAGGGCUACCACAUUUCAUAAACAUUGUUCUCCUAUAGUUACUCUACAGGUUUGUUAUAACAACGGUUUCCAAAAUACUCAUGGAUUAAAAGUUACAGGGAUUCAAAAACAGAUAAACAAAACUGUUUUGGGCUGAUUCCAACUGACCCAAAUCUGAAUUUUUGCAAAUAACUUCAAAUUUUCCCACAUCACUUGGAGAGCUCCAAAUAUGAAAAUUGUUCACUUUUCCAAGCUCCACAACUUUGAUAUAUGAACUUUUAGCAAAACAUAGCUAGAUCUUAAAAUCCACUUUUGGGCUAGUUUAGAGUUGAAAUUGGAUUUGAUCUGCUUCAAGCAUUUCAUCAAUUUAUUGCAUCCUACUAAAAACAAGGUUAACCUUAAGCUCAAACCCAACUUUGGUGUAUAGAGCUCAUGUCCAAAUUUCCAUUGGUUUAAAAUUUGUUUGCUUGUACUAGAUUUCAAACAAGGUCUCUGAACUUCUCUUGCUCUCUUCGAAACGACACAACCUCACCCUUUUGCAAAUUUGUUAUUCUAGUGAAUGCAUUCUAGGUGUAUCAAGCAAGUUAAUGCAAGUGUAUAUGAUGAAAUGUCAAAUUUUUAGUUCUCGUAACACCAGGGGUGUUACAGCACACCAAUGCUAGUGCGGAUAUGUAAUUAGGUGUUUGUAAUAUAAGACAUGCAAUCGUUCUAAAGACACUAUUGUACAUGAUAUUCAUAGGAUGUGACAAAUAAAUAAAGGUAGUGGGCAGGCUCGUACUUUAGGGAGGUACCUCUUGGGUACCCUAUAAAUACAUUGCACGAACAGGAUGAGGGGACGACUGAUAAGACAUUUGAGAACCGUUGUUCUACAUUUGUCGUGCUGCUACACUCUUGUCGUAGUCCUUAUUUGAGGUCCCCCUGUCAGGUCCCAACAUUGAUGCCCACAGUGUCUGCUUCGAACAAUCACCCCAUGAUGUCUCCAAAAAAAUUAUCACACUACCACAACUCGCUAUCAAGUCAGCAGGAGCAAAGGCUACCUACGCUCACGACAAUGAAACCAUGAAUCAUCGAUGAUAAUUCUUUAGUGUGUGUAGUGGUGAUGUUGCUUGUUGCUUUUGGUAACAUUAAGUGCUCAGGACUCCUUUCCAUUUUAUGCCCAUUUUCAUCAUCAUCUUGCCCUUCCAUUUGCAGGUCAACAAUUCUAUUGGAUAUGUUACCUAAGACAUUCAUGAAAAGCUUGACUAGCUGACCCAUUUAUGUUGUCAAGGAAUUUGUUUUUGCUAAGUAAGCAAUAUUUGCUCCAUAUCAUUCUUUACUCUUGAACCACUAGUGUCAGGGUCUUUUCUUUAUCUUCACCUCCAUCUCCUGCAUUGAUUAUAUUAGUCGAUACGUCAUGUAAAUUUCAUUCCUCAGUAUCAUCAUCUAACACUAUAGAAUGUGUGAUUUCAGAGUAGUGAGUGGAACCGGGGCGUUCCUCCAGUGAUUCACUAGAAUCUCCAUCUGAUUCUUCUCCUUUAGAAUUUUCACUGUUAACACAUGGUGGGGUACCUGCUAUUUUUUGUGAUGCAAUCAACUUAAGACGAAUACUAGCACCCCCUCAUUGUGUAGCACUCUCUAAUGAGGGGUUAUAUUAUGGAGGGCGAGACUCUAGAUUUAUGUAAGGACGUGGUGACAGCCCACCUCGUGAUCUCACACUAGCUGCUGAUUUUUUUGAUGUGAUGGGGAGGCAUCACUACCGGGCACAGUUGCUUUGCCGAGCACUCGGUAAAGUCUGGAAAACGCUCGGGGAAGUCUUUGCCGAGUGUGACUCUCGACAAAGAAGUCUCGGCAAAUUGUACAUCGGGAACGGCUUCUUUGCCGAGUACUUUUUGUUGGGCACUCGGCAAAGGCUUUGUCGAGUGUCACCUGGUACCCAGCAAAGAAAAGUCGCCAUCAUGGCACCAAGUGACGGUGAUGGAGCCUUUGCCGACUGUCCUCCAUGACACUAGGCAAAGACUCCCUCUUUGCUAAGUGUCUGUUGUACUAGCGCUCGGUAAAGAAGCCCUCGCGAGCCCCUUUGCUAGUGCCUUUACCGAGUGUCAUCUAGACUAGCUCUCGACAACGGGAGAAUUAGUGGGCCCCUUUGCUAGCCUCUUUGCCAAGUGCAUUAGGAGGCACUCGGCAAAAGCCGCUUCUUUGUCGAGUGCCUCUGCCACAACACUUGGCAAAUAAACUUUACCGGUUCUUAGGUGUGCCUUCUUUGCCGAGUGUAACACUCGGCAAGUGACCAGAAUACCCCUUUUUAUUUAUUUUUUUCAUUCCAUCCAAAUAAACAAAACAUAUAUCACAUAAUCAUCAUAUAUACAUCACAGAGCUCACAGAAUCAUCACAUACAUCAAACACACGACAUAGCUCACAAAGAUCACAUGUUUCUUCACAAAGAUCACAAAGUCACAAGUAUCACAAAAUAGUUCACAACACUAACAAGUACUCGCAUAAAUGAGUCCACAAACAUCCAAUAUAUGCCAUAAAACAUGUCUUACAACUAAGUUUAGAAGAACAUCAGCGAGGUGGGCGGUUGGAUUGGUUCGACGAUGGGCUAGGCUAUCCAUGAGGGUUGUUUGAUGCUGCAGAUUGUCCCUGCAGAGAGAAGAGAUUGCAUCUAUGAGACCAGAUGAAUAUAUAUCAUGCAGAGAACUAUUUUGUGGCUUGCAAGUUCACAUCUGAAUUAUCCAAAGAAAUUCAAUUAAACUAACUAAAUCUAAUAAUUAUAGCAAACACUUUGAUAAUUAUGCCAAAAUUGGACAUGUAGGUAUAUAUAGUGUAGGAACACAGUAGAGAAAGUUUGGUGGAGAAAAGAAAAAAAAUAAAAAUAUACUUUGUCGAGUGUCGGCUAAGGACACUCGGCAAAGAAUUACUUUGUCGAAUGCUUUCCUAAAGCACUCAACAAUGAAGGUAUUUUGUCGAGUGUCUGCUGGGAACUCUCGGUAAAGCUAACGGUCGUCAGCCAGCGGCGGAUCCAGGAUUAAUCCAAGAGGGGGGCUGGCUACUAAGUUAAAACUAUAACAAAAAAUUUAAACCAAACAAAAAAUAUAAUUGAUGUUUAAUAUGACAUAAGAAGCAAGAUAUAAUUUAAACAUUCAAGAAAUAUGUAGUCUAAAAAUAAGUCGAUACAAAAUUUAUAAAUACAAUAAUCUUGCACAUACCGUUCAUGAGUUGAUGCUACGAGGUAAAUUUAUCUUCCUAGUUCUAAGCCUUGAAAAUGCUUCAAAAUCUUUUUAUAUUGAAUUUCUACAAACAUAAGGAAAUCACCGGCGCUCGGCGGGUGGCCGGUGAGCGCAGGGCGCCUGCACCUGGGCGGUGGCGCAGUGGCCGGUGCCGCGGACCGCGGUGCCUGGCUGCGUGCGCGCCUGCGCGGUGCGGUGGCCGCUGGCCGGUGGGCGCAGCGCAGGGCGCCCGCGCGGCUGCGCCUGGGCGGUGGGCGUGCGGCGGAGCUGGCCGACGAGCUGCAGCUUGACGCAGGCACUCAUCGGGCGCGAGGUGUCAUGCGGAGGUCCUGCGUGGCGACGGCCGUGACUCGGAGGUAGACGAGCUUGGACGAGAAGUAUACCUUGGCGCGCGUGGACGCGAUGGUCGUCAGAGUGACCACGCAGGCGGCGGCUUCUUAGGUUAGAAGCGGGGCUGGCGGCUGGGCAGUAACCACGCGCACGGAAGCAGCAGAGUUGGGCACGGGUGAUAGCCUGAUAGGCCUAUUCUCUACUCCUACUCGCGUUAUUGGGCCACGACUGGGGCUGCAGCCCAGGCAGCCCCGGUCGGGAAUCCGCCCCUGUCGUCAGCUACCGUCGGUAGGUGACAACACUUAGCCGAGAGCCCUUUUUAGCCGAGUACUUGGCUCUCGGCAAAGAAGUAUUCAUCGAGAGCCUUUUUAUGCCACGAGUUUGGCCCUCGACAGAGACUCUCUUUGCUGAGUGUCGUUCUAUGCCGAGAGCAACACUUGGUAAAGUAUGUUUUGUCGAGUACCCGAUAAAUAGCUCUCGGUAAAUAGCUAGACACUCGACAAAGAGCUGGAUUUCGGUAGUGCAUGAUGCUGUUGAAGACCUCAUCCCACCCUCAUCAUCUUGAUAAAUGGACAUCCUGAUCCACAUAUGGACCUCUCCUAUAUUAGGAUGAAGUCACUUUCGGAGAAACUUGCCUUGGGAUUGGGAACUAUUUCCUCAUUCGAAAGAUAAGAGAACUCAUGUGUUACUUGUAGUGGCACCCAUUUAGGGUCAUCGCUUCAUUUUGAGAGUGUCGAAAGAGUGUCACAUAUUGCAACAUCAUUAUCAAUAACCCUCGCAUUAUCAACAUCUUUCAUAUGAUGAUCGUCAUCUGGGGCAAUUUGUGAUGCCUCUUUACUAUUCUUCUCAAGCUCUCAAGGUGGUGUGUUGGGCUUUUAUUUACCCGAUCUCCUUUGGAGGAGUUGGAGCAUUUGAUUUUUCCUUUACAUGAUUUUUAGUAUCGACUUCCAUUGUGGGCUCCUUUAGUUUAGGAGAACCAAUCCCGUGAUUGGACGUAAUUGUUCAUGUGUUCUCCUAUAAUUUUUAGACCUAGGUACGAGACAUUCCACCAAACACCUAUACCUUUCAUUCUGCUUCAAUGUAGGGGAGAGACACAACAUAAUUUUAUCAUAGAAUGGCUGGACAUGGCCUUUCGGUCACACUCAUACCUGCACAUUAUUGAGCACCCAUUCUUGAAGCUCUUGGUACAAAAUGUGUUGAUUAUUUCAACAAUUUUCACGUUUGCAUUUGUUCGUUGAUGGAACAUAUGCGGUAGUAGGUUGGAUUGGUGCUGUUAGUAGUAAUGUCAGAUUCUAUUGAGAGCAUGAUAUAGUUGCAAUAUGAGUGGUGCACUUAUAAGUUGUUUCUUAUUGAAGCAUCAUCAUCCUUUGGAACUCAAAUUAGAUACAAAUAGUAGUCCUAGAAGUCUAGUAUACACAUUAAUACAUCGGAUGAUUCUAAAUCUGCUUAAACGAGACAAACCUAUACAGUUGACGAUCAAGUUUAAGAGUUGGUCCACAACUCAUGACAUAUCAUCAGAGUGAGACUAGAGCAGUCCAAUAUAUGUAGCGAAGCAAAUCAGCGGUCCAACAACCAUAAGUAUGGUUGGAAAACAAGCGUAACUCUUACGUGAUCAGUGAUCUACUUCUCUAAAAACAACAAAUAACUAAGAGUGAGUAUUUAUGUACUCAAUAGCCAGGGAAUGGAGAAAUCAUAUAUACAUGCAUGAGUAAGUGCAGCUCAGAGUACUUUGCAGAAAAAGCCAUUUUAAUGUAGGUUUGUUUUGUAAAAUAUUUUAUCAUUUUCAAAGCACAUUCUCUCCCGAAGGAGUAAAAAGUUUUUUUCAUUAUCAGAUCAAAUCCCCUGAACUAAACCAUCCAACAAUCUUGGUAGUUUCCCACCGAUUUUCUUUUCAAAACCAAAAGCAACUACUGGACUUCUCAUUCACUGUAGCUCGCGGAUUGCGUUCAGAAGAGAUAAGGAUCCUUUUCGGAAGCGGUUGGAGCUUUCGAUGAUUUCCCACAUAAAAAUAGAAUUAAGGAGAAUAUUAGCAUCCUGUUGGACUUGCUCUAACGUCUAAAACCAUAAUUGAUAUUAAGAUUCUAAAAUAUUGAGAAUAAAGUGUUCAAAUUCAUCUGAUAACCGUUAUUAUUCCCGAGUGCUAAUGGAUAAUGUUUCUUCACAAUUUAUAAUUUGUUAGGGUUCUAAAAAUAUUUUAGUUCAAAAAUAAAUAGAAAGAGCCUAAUCCUAAUCUAUUUUUAGUUCAAAAAUAAAUAGAAAGAGCCUAAUCCUAAUCUAAGCCUUAAAUUUUAUAGUGUAAAAUUUAGAGCCCAUUGUCAUGUCACCCUAUUCCCAACACAACAAUGGAUCUUCCGCUUUUAAAAGAUGAGUCUUCUCAGAAAUAUCAGUAGUUCAGCAGCAUUGCAAGCAUUAGGAUUUAGGGCCGACCAAUCUCAUAACUGGUCAUUUCGUUAUAGUAAAAACCAAGUUGCAGGUACCAAUUCAGCCAUAAAAAAGAACAGGUAUACCGAGAUCUUAAAAUACGGUAUACCACAAAGGAGAUGAUACAAUUGCUUAGAGAAGCUUCACUCGCUCUGAGUUCUAUUGUAUAUCUCUCACUACGCCUGAAUCAGCUAAGAACAGGGAAUAUGCGUGUUAGGUGCUCAAAUGGAACGGUAUCAGCUGUGUUCUUCUUGAGCUGGGGGUGAUUGAACUCAUUGCGUGGAAGAACAAUCACUUGAGACUGCCCACCCUUCUCAAUUACCCAACCUGAGUUCGCAGCAUGGUACUCAAGAAACUUGUCCAAAGCGAGACCUUCAAUGUUGAUUGCCUGUAAAGAGAAGUGUGUUAAUAUCAAAGAAGAAACCAUCCAUGUAGCAUACCCCAUGGAAACCUAGCACAAACUGGAUGGACAUUAAUCAAUGAUUAUGGUACAAUUGACACAAAGCAUACUCCCACCUACCGUCUAGUAUGCUUCUAACAUAUUACCAGCCAUAUGAUAUAUAAAACAGGUUUAUGUGGCAUCAGCACUUACUGAAGAACUUGAACAUUGAUUAAACAAGGAAUUACCUCUGCAAGAAUAUGCCUUGGAACUUUCUGGUAUGUCAAGGAAAGUACAUGAAUUGCAUAGGAUUGGAUUGCCUGCUCAAAACCUGCAAAUUAUGUAGAGUCAGGACAAAUGAUGACAUAGAUUAAAAUGCAUACCACCUGGACUAAAAUAUCAUCCAGCUGCUAUUAAUGUUUGAAUAAAUCCACAGAAAAUUCUAGCCCUCAGGCAUUCUUCCCAUCCCAUUGAAACGACCAAGGUAAAAUGAGGUUAACAUGAAAAUUAAAUGGUUAGGAAAAUAAAAAAUAUCAAUAUUAAACACUAAGUGACAGAACAUGAAAGUUACAGAAAAUAAUUUACUUACGCAUUAGGGAUGAAAACGGAUACUUAUUCGGAUGUCAAUUUUUGGUCUUUUUCCUUUGAUUGUAAAUAAAUUGGAUAUAGAAUCUGCUAUACAAAUUCAUAUUCUUGGUUUUAGCAUUGAGCUGGUAAAUAUUUAUAAAAGGUAACCCUCAAAUUUAUCAUAUAUCUUCUUAAGUGAUAGAUAUAAAAUCCGGUUUCGGAUACGGAAAUUUUGUCACCUUUUUUGUUGUAGGGAGCAAAUAAUUUAUAAAAGAAUUUAUGCAAAAUUUUGUUCUUAUUUGUAAUAAUGUGCUUGAUAUCAUAAGAAAAGAUUAGCAACGAAUUUCAUACAUAUCUAUUUUAAAAUAUUAAAUUUGUCCUAACAAUUCGGAUACCCACUUUCAUGCCUAUUGGGCAUGAAUAAGCAAUGUAACACUUCAGCCAACACCAAUGACAAAAAAACACUUGCACCUAAGUCUGACAACUGGAACAUCAUUUCAAUUUCUACUAGAAAUCCAGUGAAAACAUUAAAACUUUUAACAUUCAUAAGAAUUACUCUGGGCAUUAAGUCUCAUAUUGAUGAGACAAGUUCACAUUACAAUAUGUAACAGACUGCAUAUCUCAGACUCAAUGGCUCAAGAAGUAUAUUUACCUGGAACUGCUUCCAAUAUGUGGCGGUUGUUUGCUGCGUCAUCCCAAAACUGCCUGAACCUAGCAGUCUUUAAGCAAAAUACUUAUGUUGGCUUUAGAUUCCCCGCUAGUUUUUAGUUCUGAACAUAAGUUAGACCAAGUAUGUACCUCUAGAUAGUGAGAAAGAACUAUCAAUGCCUUGAAUUGCUCUUCCAUUUGCUGAAACAAAGACACAGACAAGUAGACUAAACAUGCUGACAAAAUAAUGCAGCCAAAAAAUGUAAAGGCAACAGGACAGCUCCUGUAUGGAAUCUCUGCAUCUGUGACAUUUGCGAGACUAGUCUGCUUCCUGCAAAUUUUCAAACUCGCAGAGCACAAUAUAUAUUCAAGCAUGGAUGUGGGGGCUUCUUUACCAAAUAUUUAUAAAUAUUGGAUAUUGUGCACAUUAAUCACACACAAGCCUCAAUUAAACACACUGUAUUGCAGGUCUACACAGCACCUCUGAUACUAUUGAACUAAAAGUGCAGGAUGUAAUUUUUCAUACCACAUGUUCAGGAAUUAAGAAUAAGCAAAGACUGAAGUCAGGGGCCGGCAUUGCCAUGAGAGCCUGUAAACAGAACAUCAUGGCAAAAGCCAAAAAUAGUCAGAAGCGAACUCAGAUAUACUACCUAUCAAUGAAAUCGAUGCAGCCAUUAAAUGUUCCAACCUUGAUCAGUAUGUGGGCCACAAUAUGUAUGCUCAUCCUUCCUGGCUCAAACUACAAAAGGAAAGUAGUAACUAAGAAAACAUAUGUAUGGACUAUGGGGCCAUGAUACUUGUAAAAAUGAUGUCCCUAGAUAUUCGUUGUUACCUGGUACAGGCGAAGAAGGCUGAGAUUUGCAUCCAAGUUAUAUGUUUGAGACGCAACCUAAACAGGACAAAAGAAAAGGAUCAAAACAUUAAGCAAAACUAAUGUUGCAAGAAGUCCAAAAUACAAAGCAUGUGUGUAACUUAUAAACUAAAGAAAGUUGCCAGACAAUGAAUUGAUUCAAGCGGUUCAUUUUAUGGGUAUCAUCCACCAAAUAUUUCAUUUUGCAACAGCAAUAUCAUUUGUCUCACAUCAUAAAACUGAAAACAUCUUAUAACAGCAAUGGCAAACCAAACCUGCCUAUUAUGUAUUAUGAUCAUCAGAAUAGUAUUCCUUCUUAACUCAAGACGGAACCCUAGAUAGUACAGCUACAAGGUUCAUCUAUUUUUUUAGGAACUCCUGCUGAACACUUGUGAUAAACGCACUCGAGCACCAUUCUGAAUAACAAAUAUAUAUGCUUCGAGACGCCUGCAAAGGUGUUCAAUAUCCAUAACUUUUCAGUAUCAUCGAAACACAGCGAUAGGCACUAAAGCUACAGUUAAUCUAGCAUCUGACUGCUCCAUAAUUUCACCACCGUUCAAACGCAAACAUGAAGCACCGGUAAAAAUGGUAUCUAACCCCCCCCCCCCCCCCACACACACACACACACACAAGAAAAAACAGCAGGGACAAGACGUAGUUAGGGUUUACUUGCUCGUUGACGAACUUCUCAAGGUCGUUGAGGAUGUCGGGGUUGUACGGAUUCAGGGCCACAAGGUCCUCCACCGUGUAGUUCUCCGCCUCUUGCUCUGUCGCCAUGGCAGCCGGUCUCGAGAACCCCAAACGCUAGCUCGAUCUCGCGCGGGAGCCGGAGUUGACGGGAGGGGAAGUUGGCGGCGCGGCGGAGGAGAGGAGAAUGAAGAGUUUUCAGAGGGAAGGCGUAUGCGGACCGAAGCAGAGCCGUUGCCAAAAAGGCCCGCCCGCCCGUGUCGAUUCUUUUCCUUUGUCGGCUCGACGGCCCAUGGGCUUUCGUUUCAACACUAAUCGAGUAGAUUGGAUAGUAUUCAGUCGUUCUAAAUCGUCAAAAUUUAUCUUAAUCUAUUCCAAUACACUCUAAUUCAUAUAAAAUUGGAAUAAUAGAACAAGGUCUCAGGUGGUCGACAUCGUGUACCUCUCCCACCAAUCAUAUGUCGCGCUACGCUUGUAUCAGUCUUUUUAAAAGAUUCUCUUCUUUGUAUCUUCAUUUCCAACAACAUUCUCUAUAUCUAGUUCUCUAUACCUAAAUACACAUAAAUACCUAUAUUAGGGACAUAUUUUACUUUUAAUUUUUGCACAUACGAUAUUUGUCAUACAAUCAAAUUAAUUGCACACAUUUUAGUUUUGCUAAAUUCGUUGUUUUAUAUAUUAAGACUGGUAAAGGAGGGGAUAGAGAAACUCUAUAUAGAGAAGAUCAAGCAGCGUCCUCUAUAUUUAGAGGAUCGUUUAGAGGACGCCGCUGGAGACAUAAAGGAUAGGGAUCUUUUCUAAAAUUUAGGAUAGAGGAGGCUUUAGAGUGAAAGGGAAAUGUGCCCUUGGGCCAUUUCUAAGUAUUUUGUUGAUUGAGUGCCAACACAAGUACUCAAAUGUGAAUCUAUGCGCAUGGAUGAACAAAGUGCAAAUCAAGAGCUAAGGUAUGUUUCUAAGUCUUAGUACAUUGGUUUUAUGUACUAAUAUACUUGUCUAAGUAUCAGAAACAGGAAGAAGAAGAAAAGAGGAGAGUUGGCUGUGUACAGCCAAGAGGCUGUUUCGGUCUGGGGCACCGGACUGUCCGGUGCGCCAGGUUGCCUCGAGCAAAGUGGCCGCCCUCGGGAAUUCGCCGACGGCGUACGGCUAAAAUUCACCGGACUGUCCGGUGAGCCAACGGUCGGCCGCGCGAUCUGCGCAGGACACGUGGCCGAGCCAACGGUCGGAAGGGGGCACCGGACUGUCCGGUGUGCACCGGACAUGUCCGGUGCGCCAACGGCUCCCGCAUCUGCAACGGUCGACUGCGCUGUUUAAGGAAGGAAAUCGGGCACCGGACAGUGUCCGGUGCGCCCGACGACAGAAGGCAAGGACAGCCUUCCUGGUUUGUUCUCAACGGCUCCUAGCUGCCUUGGGGCUAUAAAAGGGACCCCUAGGCGCAUGGAGGAGCACACCAAGCAUUCCUACAACAUUCCUAAGCACCAAGACAUCGAUCUCACGCAUUCGUUUCAUUGUGAUAGCAUCUAGAGCUCUUGUGGAGUUGUGAACUCUUUGAGUUGUGUUGCGAGCUCUUGUUGCGACUUAUGUGCGUGUUGUUGCUCUGAUCUUUUGAAGUCUUGUGUGCGUUGCUCAUUCCCCCUUUGCUCUGUGUUCUUUGUGAACUUCAAUUGUAAGGGCGAGAGGCUCCAAGUUGUGGAGAUUCCUCGCAAACGGGAUUGAGAAAAAGCAAGCAAAACACCGUGGUAUUCAAGUGGGUCUUUGGACCGCUUGAGAGGGGUUGAUUGCAACCCUCGUCCGUUGGGACGCCACAACGUGGAGUAGGCAAGCGUUGGUCUUGGCCGAACCACGGGAUAAACCACUGUGUCAUCUCUGUGUUUGAUCUCUUGUGGUAUUGUGUUUUGUCGAGACUCCUCUCUAGCCACUUGGCAAUUAUUGUGCUAACCCUUAACAAGUUUUUUUGUGGCUAUAAGUUUAAGUUUCGCAGGAUCACCUAUUCACCCCCCCCCUCUAGGUGCUCUCAAUUGGUAUCAGAGCCGUUCUCUUCAAGAAAGGGACUAACCGCCCGAAGAGAUGGAUCCUAAGGGGAAGGGAAUCGUGAUCAACGACAAGGAAAAGGAGUCCUUCGUCAACGAGCCAAAAGAUGACAAAUCCAACGACUCUGGCUCGGGCCACAGACGUAAAGAUGGGAAGAAGAAGAAGACAAAAUGUAUCAAGGAGAUCGUCUACUACGACAGCGACGAGUCUACUUCUUCCCACAAGGACGACGACUACGACAAACAAAAGACGGUUAACUCAAACUUCUCUUUUGAUUAUUCGCGCAUUCCGCACAGCUCAAAUGCUCAUUUGCUCCCAUUCCACUUGGCAAGCCUCCUCACUUUGAUGGAGAGGACUACGGAUUUUGGAGUCACAAAAUGCGUACACACCUAUUUUCUCUCCAUCCAAGCAUUUGGGAGAUUGUGGAAAGUGGAAUGAAAUUUGAUAGCUCGGAUAGUCCUUCAUUUAUUAAUGAACAGAUCCAUAAAAAUGCACAAGCUACUACUGUGUUGCUAGCCUCUUUGUGCAGGGACGAGUAUCACAAGGUGAGCGGCUUGGACAAUGCCAAGCAGAUUUGGGACACCCUCAAGAUCUCUCAUGAGGGGAAUGAUGUCACCUUACUCACCAAGAUGGAGUUGGUGGAGGGCGAGCUCGGACGAUUCGCGAUGAUAAGGGGCGAGGAGCCGACGCAAACAUACAACCGGCUCAAGAUCCUUAUCAACAAAAUAAGGAGCUACGGAAGCACGCGAUGGACGGAUCACGACGUUGUCCGCCUAAUGCUAAGGUCAUUUACCGUUCUUGAUCCUCAUCUCGUGAACAAUAUUCGUGAGAAUCCCAGGUACACGAAGAUGACGCCCGAGGAGGUACUCGGAAAAUUCGUAAGCGGGCGGAUGAUGAUCAAGGAGGCAAGAUACGUGGACGACGCCUUGAAUGGACCAAUCAACGAGCCUCAACCCCUUGCUCUCAAGGCAACAAGAAGCAAGGAGGCGCUACCUAGCAGGGUGGCACAAAUAGAGGCAGACGGACUUAAUGAUGAAGAGAUGGCCCUCAUCAUCAAAAGAUUCAAGACGGCGCUUAAAGGUCGCAAGGGACAGCCAAGCAAGACCAAAGCCAAGGGGAAGCGUUCGUGCUUCAAAUGCGGUAAGCUUGGUCAUUUUAUUGCUAACUGUCCCGACAAUUAUAGUGAUCAGGACCAAGGGAACAAGAGGGAGAAGAAGAAGAAUUAUAAGAAGGCAAAGGGCGAGGCUCAUCUUGGCAAGGAGUGGGAUUCGGACUGCUCCUCGUCUGACUCCGACAAUGAGGGACUCGCCGCCACUGCAUUCAACAAGUCAUCCCUCUUCCCCAACGAGCGCCACACUUGCCUCAUGGCAAGAGAGAAGAAGGUAAUCACUCGUAAUGAUGUCACUUAUGAUUCUUCUAGUGACGAUGAGUCUAGUGAUGAUGAAAUAGAUUACUCUAGUUUGUUCAAGGGAUUAGAUAGAAGUAAAAUUGAUAAAAUCAAUGAAUUGAUUGAUGCCUUGAAUGAAAAGGAUAGGCUUUUAGAAAAGCAAGAGGAUUUGUUGUAUGAUGAACAUGAUAAGUUUAUAGAAGCACAAAAAUCACUUGCUUUAGAGAUUAAGAGAAAUGAAAUGCUUUCUUGUGAGUUGUCUACAUGUCAUGAUUCAAUUUCUAGUUUAAAAAGCAUAAAUGAUGAUUUAAAUGCUAAGCUAGAAAAAUCUAGUAAAUCAACAUCUUGUGUAGAACAUGUUGUGAUUUGCACUAGGUGUAAAGAUUUUGACAUUGAUGCGUGUAGUGAACACCUAGCUUCAAUUUCUAAAUUGAAUGAUGAAGUGGCUAGUCUUAAUGCUCAACUUAAGGCUAGCAAAAGCGAAUUUGAUAAGCUAAAAUUUGCAAGGGAUGCCUAUACGAUUGGUAGACAUCCCUCAAUUAAGGAUGGACUUGGCUACAAAAGGGAAGCCAAGAACUUGACAAGCCAUAAGGCUCCCAUCUUCAUCAAGGAGAAAGGGAAGGCCCCUAUGGCUACUAGUACUAAAAAGAACCAUGCCUUUUUGUAUCAUGAUAGGAAAAAUUCUAGAAAUGCUUUUAGAAGUUAUGAUGCUUUUGAUUCACAUGCUUAUAAUUCUUAUGCUAUGACUGCUUCUAAUUCUCAUGUCGUGCAUGAUAGAAAGGUUGGUAGAAGAAAUGUUAUUCACAAUAUACCUAGGAGAAAUGUUGUUAAUGCUCAUAGGAAAUUAAAUGAACCUUCUACAAUAUAUCAUGCUUUGAAUGCUUCCUUUGCAAUUUGUAGAAAGGAUAGAAAGGUGAUUGCUAGGAAAUUAGGGGCAAAAUGCAAGGGUGAUAAAACUUGCAUUUGGGUCCCUAAGACAAUUGUGACUAACCUUGUAGGACCCAACAAGAGUUGGGUACCUAAGUCCCAAGCCUAAAUUUGCCUUGCAGGUUUAUGCAUCCGGGGGUUCAAGCUGGAUUAUUGACAGCGGAUGCACAAACCAUAUGACGGGGGAGAAGAAGAUGUUCACUUCCUACGUCAAGAAUAAGGAUUCCCAAGAUUCAAUUAUAUUCGGUGAUGGGAAUCAAGGCAAGGUAAAAGGGUUAGGUAAAAUUGCAAUCUCUAAUGAGCAUUCUAUCUCUAAUGUAUUUUUAGUGGAGAGUCUUGGAUAUAAUUUGCUAUCUGUUAGUCAAUUAUGUCAUAUGAGAUAUAACUGUCUAUUUACAAAUGUAGAUGUGUCUGUCUUUAGAAGAAGUGAUGGUUCACUAGCUUUUAAGGGUGUAUUAGACGGCAAACUUUAUUUAGUUGAUUUUGCAAAAGAAGAGGCCGGUCUAGAUGCAUGCUUAAUAGCUAAGACUAGCAUGGGCUGGCUGUGGCAUCGCCGCUUAGCACAUGUAGGGAUGAAGAACCUUCACAAGCUUCUAAAGGGAGAACAUGUGAUAGGUUUAACUAACGUGCAAUUCGAAAAAGAUAGACCUUGUGCAGCUUGUCAAGCAGGUAAAUAAGUGGGAGGAGCGCAUCACGGCAAGAAUGUGAUGACCACUUCAAGACCCCUGGAGCUGCUGCAUAUGGACCUCUUCGGACCUGUCGCCUAUCUGAGCAUAGGAGGGAGUAAGUAUGGUUUAGUUAUUGUUGAUGACUUUUCCCGCUUCACUUGGGUGUUCUUUUUGCAGGAUAAGUCUGAAACCCAAGGAACCCUCAAGCGCUUCCUCAGGAGAGCUCAAAAUGAGUUUGAGCUCAAGGUGAAGAAGAUAAGGAGCGACAACGGGUCCGAGUUCAAGAACCUUCAAGUGGAGGAGUUCCUUGAGGAGGAAGGGAUCAAGCACGAGUUCUCCGCUCCCUACACACCCCAGCAAAAUGGUGUGGUAGAGAGGAAGAACAGGACGCUAAUCGAUAUGGCAAGGACGAUGCUUGGAGAGUUCAAGACCCCCGAGUGUUUCUGGUCGGAAGCCGUGAACACGGCUUGCCACGCCAUCAACAGGGUCUACCUUCAUCGCCUCCUCAAGAAGACUUCGUAUGAGCUACUAACCGGUAACAAACCCAAUGUAUCUUACUUUCGUGUAUUUGGGAGCAAGUGCUACAUUCUAGUGAAGAAGGGUAGAAAUUCUAAGUUUGCUCCCAAAGCUGUAGAAGGGUUUUUGUUAGGUUAUGACUCAAAUACAAAGGCGUAUAGAGUCUUCAACAAAUCAUCGGGUUUGGUUGAAGUCUCUAGCGACGUUGUAUUUGAUGAGACUAAUGGCUCUCCAAGAGAGCAAGUUGUUGAUUGUGAUGAUGUAGAUGAAGAAGAUGUUCCGACGACCGCUAUACGAACCAUGGCGAUUGGAGAAGUGCGGCCACAGGAACAAGAUGAACGAGAUCAACCUUCUUCCUCAACUAUGGUGCAUCCCCCAACCGAAGAUGACGAACAGGUACCUCAAGUGGAGGCGCUUGAUCAAGGGGGAGCACAAGAUGAUCAAGUGAUGGAGGAAGAAGCGCAACCGGCACCUCCAACCCAAGUUCGAGCAAUGAUUCAAAGGGAUCAUCCCGUCGACCAAAUUCUGGGUGAUAUUAGCAAGGGAGUAACUACUAGAUCUCGAUUAGUUAAUUUUUGUGAGCAUUACUCCUUUGUCUCUUCUAUUGAGCCUUUUAGGGUAGAGGAGGCCUUGCUAGAUCCGGAUUGGGUAUUGGCCAUGCAGGAGGAACUCAACAACUUCAAGCGCAAUGAAGUUUGGACACUGGUGCCUCGUCCCAAGCAAAAUGUUGUGGGAACCAAGUGGGUGUUCAGCAACAAACAGGACGAGCACGGGGUGGUGACAAGGAACAAGGCUCGACUUGUGGCAAAAGGUUAUGCCCAAGUCACAGGUUUGGACUUUGAGGAGACGUUUGCUCCUGUGGCUAGGCUAGAAUCAAUUCGUAUCUUGCUAGCAUAUGCCGCUCACCAUUCUUUCAGGUUGUACCAAAUGGAUGUGAAGAGCGCUUUCCUCAAUGGGCCGAUCAAGGAGGAGGUGUACGUGGAGCAACCCCCUGGCUUCGAGGAUGAACGGUACCCCGACCACGUGUGUAAGCUCUCUAAGGCGCUCUAUGGACUUAAGCAAGCCCCAAGAGCAUGGUAUGAAUGCCUUAGAGACUUUCUAAUUGUUAAUGCUUUCAAGGUUGGGAAAGCCGAUCCAACUCUUUUUACAAAGACAUGUGAUGGUGACUUGUUUGUGUGCCAAAUUUAUGUCGAUGACAUAAUAUUUGGUUCUACUAACCAAAAGUCUUGUGAAGAGUUUAGCAGGGUGAUGACGCAGAAAUUCGAGAUGUCGAUGAUGGGCGAGUUGAACUACUUCCUUGGGUUCCAAGUGAAGCAACUCAAGGACGGCACCUUCAUCUCACAAACAAAGUACACGCAAGAUCUGCUAAAGCGGUUUGGGAUGAAGGACGCCAAGCCCGCAAAGACUCCGAUGGGGACCGACGGACACACCGACCUCAACAAAGGAGGUAAGUCCGUUGAUCAAAAAGCAUACCGGUCAAUGAUAGGUUCUUUGCUUUACUUAUGUGCUAGUAGACCGGAUAUUAUGCUUAGCGUAUGCAUGUGUGCUAGAUUUCAAUCCGAUCCUAAGGAGUGUCACUUAGUGGCGGUGAAGCGAAUUCUUAGAUAUUUGGUUGCUACGCCUUGCUUCGGGCUCUGGUAUCCAAAGGGGUCUACCUUUGACUUAGUUGGAUACUCAGACUCCGACUAUGCUGGAUGUAAGGUCGAUAGGAAGAGUACAUCGGGGACGUGCCAAUUCUUAGGAAGGUCCCUGGUGUCAUGGAACUCUAAUAAACAAACCUCCGUUGUCCUAUCCACCGCUGAGGCCGAGUACGUUGCCGCAGGUCAGUGUUGCGCGCAACUGCUUUGGAUGAGGCAAACCCUCCGGGACUUUGGCUACAAUCUGAGCAAAGUCCCACUCCUAUGUGAUAAUGAGAGUGCUAUCCGCAUGGCGGAGAAUCCUGUUGAGCACAGCCGCACAAAGCACAUAGACAUCCGGCAUCACUUUUUGAGAGACCACCAGCAAAAAGGGAGAUAUCGAAGUGUUUCAUGUUAGCACCGAGAACCAGCUAGCCGAUAUCUUCACUAAGCCUCUAGAUGAGAAGACCUUUUGCAGGUUGCGUAGUGAGCUAAAUGUCUUAGAUUCGCGGAACCUGGAUUGAAUUGUAGCAUACAUGUAUUUAUGCUUUUGAUCAUGUUCCUUUUUGCAUUUUUGUUGCUUAUUAUGGUGCUCAAGUUGUACAAACACUCCCUGGACCUCACAAGUCCGUUGCAAAGUGAUGCACAUGUUUAGGGGGAGAUGUGUUACAACUUGACCCUUUGAGACUAACCAUGUGCUUGAGUUGAUGAUUUAGUCUCGAAGGAGGAUUGAAAGGGAAAAGGUGGACUUGGACCAUGAAAGACUUCCACUUCACUCCGAUGAGAGGGUAACUUAUUCCAAGUUCAUCUCAUGAAAUCUUAUUGCAUUUGCUCUUAAUUGAAGACUUUGGUGAGGCAAUGGGGUUAAAGGGCCAAGAUUGAUCCCGUUUUGGUGCUUGAUGCCAAAGGGGGAGAAAAUAAAGGCCAAAGCGAUAAAUGGAUCAGCUACCACUUGAGAGAUUUUGAAAAUAGUAGAAUAGAGUUUUUGUUUUGUCAAACUCUUUUAUUGUCUCUUAUUGUCUCUCUUGUCAAAAGUUGGCUUCUUGUGGGGAGAAGUAUUGAUUAUGGGAAAUAGGGGGAGUUUUUGAAAUCUUUGAUCAAUCUCUUUUGGAAUGACUCUCUUUAUGCUUCAACAUGUGUGUUUGACUUAGAGAUAGAGAAUUGAGUUUGAUUUGCAAAAACAAACCAAGUGGUGGCAUAGAGUGAUCCGUAUAUGUCAAAAUUGAAUCAAAAUAAAUUUGAGUUUUAUUUGAAGUGAUAUUGCACUUGUUCUAGUUGCUUUAUGUUGUGUUGGCAUAAAUCACCAAAAAGGGGGAGAUUGAAAGGGAAAUGUGCCCUUGGGCCAUUUCUAAGUAUUUUGGUGAUUGAGUGCCAACACAAGUACUCAAAUGUGAAUCUAUGCCCAUGGAUGAACAAAGUGCAAAUCAAGAGCUAAGAUAUGUUUCUAAGUCUUAGUACAUUGGUUUUAUGUACUAAUAUACUUGUCUAAGUAUCAGAAACAGGAAGAAGAAGAAAAGAGGAGAGUUGGCUGUAUACAGCCAAGAGGCUGUUUCGGUCUGGGGCACCGGACUGUCCGGUGGUGCACCGGACAGUGUCCGGUGCGCCAGGUUGCCUCGAGCGAAGUGGCCGCCCUCGGGAAUUCGCCGACGGCGUACGGCUAAAAUUCACCGGACUGUCCGGUGUGCACCGGACUGUCCGGUGAGCCAACGGUCGGCCGGGCCAACGGUCGGCCGCGCGAUCUGCGCAGGACACGUGGCCGAGCCAACGGUCGGAAGGGGGCACCGGACUGUCCGGUGUGCACCGGACAUGUCCGGUGCGCCAACGGCUCCCGCAUCUGCAACGGUCGACUGCGCUGUUUAAGGAAGGAAAUCGGGCACCGGACAGUGUCCGGUGUGCACCGGACUGUCCGGUGCGCCCGACGACAGAAGGCAAGGACAACCUUCCUGGUUUGUUCUCAACGGCUCCUAGCUGCCUUGGGGCUAUAAAAGGGACCCCUAGGCGCAUGGAGGAGCACACCAAGCAUUCCUACAACAUUCCUAACCACCAAGACAUCGAUCUCACGCAUUCGUUUCAUUGUGAUAGCAUCUAGAGCUCUUGUGGAGUUGUGAACUCUUUGAGUUGUGUUGCGAGCUCUUGUUGCGACUUGUGUGCGUGUUGUUGCUAUGAUCUUUUGAAGUCUUGUGUGCGUUGCUCAUUCCCCCUUUGCUCUGUGUUCUUUGUGAACUUCAAUUGUAAGGGCGAGAGGCUCCAAGUUGUGGAGAUUCCUCGCAAACGGGAUUGAGAAAAAGCAAGCAAAACACCGUGGUAUUCAAGUGGGUCUUUGGACCGCUUGAGAGGGGUUGAUUGCAACCCUCGUCCGUUGGGACGCCACAACGUGGAGUAGGCAAGCGUUGGUCUUGGCCGAACCACGGGAUAAACCACUGUGUCAUCUCUGUGUUUGAUCUCUUGUGGUAUUGUGUUUUGUCGAGACUCCUCUCUAGCCACUUGGCAAUUAUUGUGCUAACCCUUAACAAAUUUUUUUGUGGCUAUAAGUUUAAGUUUCGCAGGAUCACCUAUUCACCCCCCCUCUAGGUGCUCUCAUAGAGGACCUGCUGGAGAGAGUCUUAGAGCAAGUAUGAUAAGGUGACGUAAGUGACCCAUAAAAUAUGUCACAUCGGAUUUAAAGUGAUGUGGAAGAAAAAAUAGAUAGAAGGAAAACGGACUCUUAACUAGUACUCACUCCGUCCAUAUGAAUUAAUCCUUUUGGAUUAAUAAAUCGAUCAUUAUCAAUUUUGACCGGUUAUAUCAGAUGUUUCAUAAGAUUUUACAAUAUAGAAGUAAAGUUUUUAAAUUUAUCAUGUUUCGAAUUACUAUAAUAUAUAAUUCUUUUAGUUUAAAAUAAUUUAAUAUUGUAUAUAUUGUUGGUCAAAAUUCAAAUAUUUGACUUAGAACAAACUCAAAACGACUAAAUUAUGUGGAUAGAGGAAGUAGCCAGCUGAAAGCAGGUUCUUCACAGGCUCAAGACAUGUUGUGAGACGGAGAGAUGGACCCGUAUUAAAUAUACAACUUGUAUUAUGAGAGAGUUAUUAUAUGACUUGGCUUUUAGUUAGCUCAACAUGACAUGGCUAUUUGUUAGCGCCAGUCGUCAACUGUGUUAUUAUCCUUGCUCUUACAACUGGUCACGUUGGUUCGCUUAGGUUCGAUCGAGUCAAUGUCGGGUCAUGGGUUAUUUGGCACAAUUUGUAUCUGAUCCGUGUCUAGUGUCAAGUCGGGUCGGGUUAGCCUGUGCUUCCUUGUUGGGCGUGUUGUGUCAUUUUUUGCUUUGAAUCGGGGUUUUCAGGUGGGGGUCGGGUUUUGGGGUAAAAAAUCAUGGUCUGUGUCAACCUGUGGAUUGUUCUGUGUCAAAAAAUUAUGGCUCAUACCCGCUCGUUGCAUUAGUUGGGUCGAGUCAGGGCGGAUUUUUUGGGUGGGUCAGGUAAGGUUGAUCGGGUCGGACGUCCAUGCACUAGUAUACAGAAGCUCUAUAGUGGUAGUUGUGAACCUAUUUUCACUGGCGUUUUUAGAACCGCCAGUGUUAGGGGUACAUGCGGAUAACUGAGGACCGCCAGAAGAGACCUCGGCCCACCCCACCCGUCGCAAAAGUCGCAACAUUUUUCGCGCAAAAUUCGCGCACUAUGGGGUUGCUAGGAAUUGAACCCCCCGGCCUCACCCGCGCACGUACCCUCUUCUACCACUCCGCCUAUAGCAUGCUUUAUGUCUAGUUUGUAAUUUUGUUGUCCACAUAUUACAACCAACUGAGUGUAAAUUGCUUGUUCGAGACCUUAAAACGAAUUCAAAUAAAAAUGUUGUCAAUUACAAAGUUGAAUAACUUUUGAAGUUCUACAACUAUCAUUUUGACACUUUUUUCAUUGAGGAAGUUUGCAAAAUUUGAAUUUUAAAUUUGAUAAAUUUAGAUGCAAUUUUUGAGAGCCUAAAUGAUUUCAAAAAUGAAAAGGUUGUCAACUACAAAGUUCUAUAACCUUAGAGAUCUACAACUUUUAUUUUGGUGGUUUCAUCAUACGAGGUCGUUUGAAAAACUCAAAAAAUUAAGGAUAAAAAUAAUUUUUAGUGACAGUUUUUUAAAAAAUCGCCACUAGAAAUCGAUUUGUACAAGCGGUUCCUUAAGAAAAUGGUCACUAGAAAUCAUGGAUUUCUACAGGCAGUUUUUUUAAUGAACUGCCUGUAGAAAUACGAUUUCUAGUGGCGGUUUUCUUAAGGAACCGGCACAAAAAAUAGCACAGACGGUUAAUAACUGAAUCCGCCUGUAAAAUAUACCGCACCGCAGGUUGUGAGCAUUUUUUCUACCGGUGAUGAUCAGGUAUGGCAAAGUUGUGUCCUAGAUACUUCCACUUCUUGGGGCGUCGACGUCGGCUCGUCGGCGUAGUCAAAAUCGGCACAGGUCAGGAGCAACUCAUCACCAAGAAAAACACAGAUUUAGGGGAUGGAAUCGAAGACGGAUCGCGUGCCAAGUCGGAGAAAAACCACGAUAUUCGUCGAGUCAGGUUCACCAACACCCCCACGGCCACGACGACGACACGGAGGAAGAGGCCCAAGUAGUCACCCCGCGUGGUGCGGUAGGAUCGGGUGCAGGGACGCUGAAGAGCUCGACGACACAGAUCCCACGCAUCUGCCGCCACCUGUCACUGUACGACAUGUAGGUGACGCCGUCCACGCCACGGGUCAAGAAUCGCAGCGCCGGUGCGGCGGGACACAACACGAAGGCGGCGUCAUGGGUGAUGGUGACCUCGCGCAUGGCGGAUAAGGACUAGGCCACCACCACGGGGACAUUUCGCAAGUGGGGGGCAUCAGGGGGUUGUAGGUCAACAAGAGGUCACACAAGAGGCACUGCGGGGCAUGUCCCAGGUGAGGUGUUGCAGGUGGCCGAUGGCUAGCAUCGCCCAUGGCCCUGGAUCUGACUCCUAGCAUCGUCCCUCCCAUGCGCACGAUGACGAGCAAGUAACAUUAGCUUCAUAUUUGUAAUUAGUCCAUGUCAAGGGGCUCGGUUAGAGCCAUAACUCCACAACCCUAAGCUGCACAUUGAAAAGUAGCUCCCUUUUCUAUUUUCGUCAGUUCAGCUUUCCCUAAGCUGCUUAUUGAAAAGUGUCUGUGUUACACCUACGUACGCAGACUAGCGCUCUAUCCUGCAGGAAACCAAUCAAGCAUGCAAGCGCGGUCAAUGUGGCCUGCGUCCAGCGGCUCUGGGCGCGACUAGUGCUGGGAAUUGGGCGGGUCGGGCCAGUCCGGCCCAAGCCCAUCGUGCUUCGUGCCAAACAGGUUCAGGCCAAGAAAGCCCAAAAUACUUUUGGGUCGUGCAGUGCCAGCCCAAAGUGUAAAAACAGUGGUCCAGCCCAGCCCUAAACCACGUCGUGGCUUUGUUGGGCCGUGCCGGCCCAAGCCUGGCCCGUAUAUUUGACCACAUAAAAUCAAAAUAUUACAACUAUAUAAAGUUCAUAGCUUACUAAAUUAAAGAUAUUAAACAAUUCUAGCAUCAUUUAACCACAUAAACUCUAAAUAUAACAACAAUAUAAAGUCGACAUCUUACUAAAUUAAACAAAUUAAACAGAUUAGGCUUAAUUGAACCGUGCCGGCCUAAGCCCGGCCCAUCUAUGCGGGCCGUGUCGGGGGCCCGGCGAGCUGGAAAUUGAGGCCCGACCCAAACCCGUCUUCGAACCGUGCUAGCCCGGCCCAUAUUAUUUCGUGUCGGGCCGUGCUUUUGGUUCCUAUUUUCGGACCGUGCUGGUGCUGACCCGAAAAGCCGGCCCAUAUUACCAGCACUAGGCGCGACAACCAAUCACACCUAUAGUCUGCUUGACCAUGCAACACACUCAUUUCCUUUGUUCUUCAAGAAUCCCUUUUAUUUGUUCUUUUAUCUAUAAAUAUAAUAGUAUAAUGGUAUAACUCUCUACUAUUUCGUUUUAUUUCGUUUUUCAUGUGUUUUUACUUUUAGUUUCUUUAUUUUUUUUCUUCCGUCGUCUUUUGUUUUAAAAAUUCUCUUUUCAUUCAAUUUUGUUUUACUCUGUUUAUCAUUACAACUUCAUACAUCGUCUAGUUAAGGUCCUGCUUUACCCUUCACUUAUCUACCACUUUUGUUUUGCCAAAUGUGUUCCUGCUACAUUUGAUUGACUAACCUGGAGGCCAAGUUAAAUGCACGCUCAGAAAAGAACAAUUGUUGCUUGCAUUUCAAAAAUAGAUGGAACACCAUGAGAUACAAUAACCUAACAUGGAAGACAGUAGAUUUAAAUGCAAUUUGCCUAGAGAGGGAUCCUACAAUGUUUGUGUUAUUGCUGGCACUACCGGAAUUUGGCUCUUUGGCGAGUACCAAAUACUUUGCCGAGUGUUUUUUGGCACUCGACAAAGAAGCUCUUUGCCGAGUGCCACACAAAAAAACCUCGGUAAAAGAAAACACUCGGCGAAGAAGCUCUUUGCCGAGUGUUUUUUUCAACACUAGGCAAAGACAAUUUUAAAAUCACAUUUUAAAGCAGUAAAUUAAUUCAAAUAAAAAGUUUUCAACUACAAAUUUGUAUAACUCAUCAUGAUGUACAAUUUAUAUUUUGAACAUUUCUUCAUAUAACAAAAUAAAAAUAAAUUUGUUCAUAAAACCUAUCUCUCUCUCGUAGUUUAUGAAAACUACGAGAGAGAUGUAUAAGAUUUGUGCAUAUUGUUAGAACCAUCAUGUGAAAUGAACAAAUGACCAAACAACCAAAAUAAACUUUGUAGAUCUUGAGAAGUUAUAGAGUUUUGUAGUUGGCAACUUUUUCAUUUGAAGUCAUUUUGUCAACGAAGAAUGUCUGGAUUUUAAAAAAAAUAAAAUUUGAAUUUUGAAUACGACCUCGAAAGAAAAAAUCACCAACAUGAAAGUUGUAGGUAUUGAAGAGUUAUGAAACUUUGUAGUUGACAAUGAUUUGGUUUGAAAUCAUCUUGUCAUGCAAAACUAUGUUUAAAUUUUAAAAUUUGAAUUUUUCAAACUAUAUCGGAUGGAAAAAAACACCAAAAUAAAAGUUGUAGGUCUUGAAAUGUAAUGAAACUUUGUAAUUGAUAUUUUUUUAUUUAAAAUUAUAUUAUAAUUGAAAAAUUAGUGUGAAGUUUUCAAAUUUGAAAUUCAAAUUUUGUAAACGGCCUCGGAUGUAGAAACUAUCAAAAUAGAACUUGUAGGUCUCAAAAAGUUAUGCAAUUUAUAGUUGGUCAUAUUUUGAAAUGAAUUCAUUUAGUACCUUAAAUAAUCAAAUUACUCUCGGUUUGUUAUAGUACAUGAGAAAUAAAAAUGAAAUAUAGACAUAAUUGAUGUAGUAGUGUAGUGGUAGAGGAGGGUGUGGGGGACAGAUAUCCCCGGGCCCACUAGAAGGCAAGAAGGCCUCGUGAAAGGCUUUGGGCCUAUUAUCUCGCAAGGCCAUCCAUUCGUGGGCCAGGGGAGAACCGCUGAUGGAAGGGGCCGACACAAUGAAGAAAUAGACUAGGGCCCAAGCGGCUCAUUGGAUUUAAGCGCUAUCCACAGCGUCGAUCUGAUUUUCCCGCGCAGCAUCCUUGGAUGUCGGAGCAAACUAGGGAUAGGUCGACAAAACUAUAGGAGGAUAAGUUCAGUCGGUUCACUAUUACUUAGGUACACAUCGUCAUCACACACACAUGUAAUGCCCCACGGUCCAAGUAUAUAAGGUCUAGGGGGUACCCCAUCAGAUUCAUCGAUCAUCUACUCAACCCACUAGCUUUUCUGCACAUAGGAGACUUCUCUUAUAACCCACCACAUAAAGAUCCACACCAGGAAGUAGGGUAUUGCGCAUCUCAAAGCAGCCCGAACCUGCAGAAAAUUGCCUGUCAUCUCUCAUGCAUCCCGCACGAACCAUUGAGUUAUAGUCAACAGCACCGUCCUACCCAAAAGCACCGCGAGAGGUAACCCCGGGUGUGCGGUCUGGCUCCAAACACCGACAGCUGACGCGUCAGGUAGGGGGUGUGUCGUUGAUCCAAACUAGCUCAAUGGCUGUCACUUCCUAGUGCGAGAUCGCUCUCCACCCUGGAUCCGUGUUCUGCUUCGGGACCAUCUCAUCCGUAGCAGAUGGGGAGGGAAUUCUGCACCGCAUAGCGGAUCCACCGGAGAAAAAGCUUUCCUCGAAAAUCUCCGGGAAAGCCAGAACAAGGCAGCAGACAGCGCAACCUCCUACGCCCCAGGCGAAGACUACCUUCUGCAAGUCAAGAGUCGGAAAUUCACUUACCCGAAGAACCUCGUUGUCCACUUCGUCCACAAAGGAGUGGACACGGAUUACAAGAAAGAAAGAAGCAAGCGGGAUGGAGACCCAUCAAGUUAUCCUUCCGACACCUUCGCCUUCAAAGAAGGAUGGAAAGGAAUUCAUCAUCGCAGCAACUCCUUUCUACCCCAACGUCCUCUUCAUCAGGGGGAGAUUGGAGUCAUCUCCCAUCUCCGAUGACGAGCCAACCGUGCUAGGAGAAGAACCUCCCCAGCGAGAAGCUCGACGACGGAGAAACAGACACCGGAAUAUUCAACGACAUCACGAAGCUGGGGAGUGGGACCCAGCGCAGCCCGUAUCUCGGGAUGAAGUCUCAGAAAUAGGAGAAACUCCUGAUGAACGAGUCUUCAGAGAAAGGAGGAAUUCUCGCCGACGCGACCGCCGGCAAGCUCAAGACCGAGAUCGAGAACAAGCUGAGCAGGAUGCGAGGUUACGCCGAGAGAACCCUCUCUUCGCUCGAAACCUGAACCCUGACUUUACUCGUGCAAUGAACACGUCGAGUGAAGUCGGAGGAGUGUUGGCUCGGAUAGCUGAUGGCCUCCCCUGGACUCUGGAUGCUGAAGGUUAUAGGCGGCUGCUCACUCGAGUGGCUAAUCACCUUUUGCCCCUCGCCCAUCCCCCGGGUGACCUACGACACGCCAUCAACAGUCGGCGAGACGCACGAAGCUCCAUCAAAGUUCGUGCGAACGACGACACGAAAACGAGAUAAGGCGUCGGGAGGAGUACGAUCGGGACCAUGGUGUCCCGGCUUGAAGUCGCACCACCCGAGUUGAGUCGGCGGCAGCCUCAACUACUGGCCUGACCCGGGGACGAUCGAGACGGCACAUCAGCGACUCUCCUCCCCGGGACCGGCACCAUGAACGUCGACAGGAGGACACAUGUGGAGUAUCGGCGCUUACUCUGCGUCUCAGGGCCAUCCAGUUGCCCAUGAAUUUCAAGGUCUCCAACGUCGACAAGUAUGAGCCUAAGCAGGACCCAGGAGGCUGGUUGGCCAUCUAUACAACCACUGCUCGGGCCGCUAGGGCAACUAAAGACGUGAUGACUACGUACUUGCCCAUCGUUCUUGGGCAUGAUGCACUGCAGUGGCUACGACACCUGCCACGACACUGCAUCGACGAUUGGAGCGACUUCAGUCGGCGUUUCAUCGCCAACUUUCAGUCCCUCUCUGACAAGCCAGCGCAGCCAUGGGACCUCAAAUCCAUCAGGUGUCGGGGGGAUGAGACACUUUGGUCGUACCUCAAGAGGUUUCAGACCAUGAGAAAUCGUAUCCUCGAGGUCACUAAGGCGGCGGUGAUUGAGGACUUCUACCGGAGAUCUAAUGACUCGGCCUUCGUCCGAGCCAUACUACAGAAAGCACCGACCACCUCCAAACAAUUGUUUCGAGAAGCGGACCUCUACAUCACCACCGACGAACAGGCUCAGGACCUCAUCUGGGGAACGAAACCCGCGCCACCAGCACCACGGUGCGACGCAAACCAGCAACCCAACAAGCGUUGGGAGAAGAGGCCCCAUGAAGAGGUCCACGCCGCCUGACCACCCGUCUCUCGUGCUCGAGGGGCACCCCAUGGAGGCGAGCGGACACUGGACGAUAUCCUCGACGCCCAGUGCCCGUACCACAAGGAUAUGCGCCACACCCUGUGAAACUGCAGAGACUUCAAGCAUUCCAUCGGGAAUGGACGACCAUUCCAGCCUCUACCACCUCCCCCACCAUGAGGAGGGCCUGGUGAGGCCAGGCAGCCUCGACAACAGGAAUGGGGAGGAGACGGAGCAUUCCCGCGCGUCGACGGAGAGGUCAACAUCAUCUUCGGAGGACACAGGUCGCAGGAAAACAGAAGGCAGCAAAACCUCAACGACCGACAGGUGCUGGUGGUGACCACCAGUACCCCAGCUCCCUACCGGUGGUCGGAAUUCCCGAUCACCUUCAGCCUAGUGGAUCAAUGGCUCAACUUCGACCAUCCGGGAAAGUACCCGCUCCUCGUCGAUCUAGUGAUUCGAGAGAGCAGGGUAAAGAAAGUACUAGUGGAUGGGGAAGCAGCAUCAACGUUACCUUCCCCCGGACGCUCCUGGGCUUGGGGUCGUACUCAAAGACCUCACCGAGUCAGACACCCCUUUCUUCGGCAUUGUGCCAACCGAAGGGGAGUACCCGCUCGGGCAUAUCUACAUGCCCGUUACCUUUGGAACUCUGGAAAACUACAGAACCGAGUUCCUGAGGUUUGAAGUGGUGAGUUUUGAUUGCGGAUACAACGCCAUCAUCAGCAGGCCAGGGUUGGCAAAAUUCAUGGCUAUCAUGCACUAUUCUUACAUGAUAUUGAAGAUUCCAGGACCACAAGGAAUCAUUACCGUGCGCGCUGACUUCCAAGGCACUGCAGAAUGCUUUCAAGGAGCCAUUCAGGCGGCCCUCAUAACUAGACCACCGAUAACUUCCUCCACGCAGGCGAACACAAAGCCUGAGGGAGACUUCGCGAUAGCUACGAAUGAAGCUCAAGCCGUAACCUCUAUGCAACCGAUUGAAGAGACGAAAAUGAUCAACCUGGGGUUCGCUGAUGAACGCAAGACCGACAUCAUCAGUUCCAGCCUCGACAACAAAUAGGAAAGCGCGCUCGUCCGGUUCCAGCAAGAUAACCGGGACGUAUUCGUGUGGCAACCUGCGGAUAUGCCGAGAGUCCCGAGAGAACUGGCCAAGCACAAAUUGAAGGUCUAUCAUCAAGCAAAACCGAUUUGACAGAAGCUGUGUCAUUUCACACCUGAUAAGAGAGAAGCUAUUUGCAUCGAGUUAGCCUGCUUAGUGGCAGCAGGGUUCAUUAGAGAAGUGUUGCAUCCUAAGUGGCUGGCAAAUCCUGUUAUUGUACUAAAAAAGAAUAAAGUGGAUUGGCACAUGUGCGUCGAUUAUACUGAUCUCAACAAACAUUGUUCGAAGGACCCCUUUGGGCUCCCUAGAAUAGAUCAGGUGGUCGAUUCGACUGCCGGGUGCUCUAUGUUAUCCUUCCUAGGCUGCUAUUUUGGAUACCAUCAUAUCAGCUUGGCAAAAGAAGAUGAAGAGAAGACAACAUUCAUUACCCCGUCUGGAGCCUUCUGCUAUACCUCCAUGUCGUUCGGCCUCAAGAACGAGGGAGCGACCUACCAGAGAGCUAUUCAAACAUGCUUAGCCGAUCACUGGGGCAAGCGGGUGGAAGCUUAUGUUGAUGAUGUGGUGAUCAAAAUAGAGAACUCAGAGAACUUCAUCGAAGAUUUGCAGCUGGUCUUCAACAGCCUGAGGCGAUACCGGUGGAAGCUCAAUCCAGAGAAGUGUGUCUUCGGAGUACCGGCAGGAAAGUUACUCGGAUUCAUCGUCAGCCAUCGGGGAAUCGAAGCAAACCUAGAGAAAAUCGAAGCCAUCAUGAGAAUGGAAGCGCCGCGAUCACAGAAAAAGGUACAGAGGCUUACUGGAUGCAUGGCAGCCCUGAGUAGAUUCAUAACAAGGCUAGGCGAGAAAGGCGUGCCAUUCUACAAGUUGCUCAAAAAGGUGGACAAGUUUCAGUGGACCAUAGAGGCACAAGAAGCUCUAGAGGCGCUGAAAAAGUUCCUGACCACACCACCAGUGCUCAAGCCACCACGCCGAACCACACCAAAUCAGCCAGCAGAAGAUCUGUUACUAUACAUUUCCUGCACGACUCACGUGGUAAGCAUAGCGUUAGUAGUCGAGCGGGUGGGAGAAGGACAUGCGCACCUGAUACAACAUCCAGUCUACUUCAUCAGUGAAGUCCUCGGGCCCUCAAAAAUAAGAUAUCCUCAAAUCCAUAAGUUGCUAUAUGCGGUACUUCUAACCGCACGCAAACUCCGACACUACUUUGACGACCACAAAGUCAUAGUAGUCACAUGAUUUCCAAUAGGGGACAUCCUCCACAACAAAGAAGCCAUCGGAAGGAUAGCCAAGUGGGCGUGCGACUUGGGAGCUCAUGACAUAGAGUUUCGACCUCGCACGACAAUCAAGACUCAAGCGCCGGUCGACUUCAUAUUUGAGUGGACUGAACAUCAGGUCCCAGACAACCCAGAGGCUACCGAAGUAUGGAGAAUGUACUUUGACGGCUCGCUGAAGCUACAGGGAGCAGGUGCAGGGAUCCUCUUCAUUGCCCCUAGAGGUGAACAACUCAAGUACGCACUCCAAUUAUUGUUUCCAGCAUCAAAUAAUGCAGUAGAGUAUGAAGCACUGAUCCACGGGUUGAACAUCGCUGUAUCACUCGGUAUCAAAAAAUUGAUGGUAUAUGGAGAUUCUCUAGUGGUCAUAAGCCAGAUAAAUAAAGAUUGGGAUUGCUCGACUAAUUCUAUGGGCAAGUACUGUGCAGCCGUCCGAAAAUUAGAAGAUAGGUUUGAAGGGUUAGAGUUUCAUCACGUGGGGAGAGACCGCAACGCGGCAGCAGACGCGUUGUCAAAAAAGCUGAGAUCCAGUCGGGCUCAGGUCCCACCCAGGAUCUUCGUCCAAGAAGUAUCAUGCCCGAGUAUUCUCUUAGACCGGGCAGAAGAGUGCAACAUCUUGAGCCAACAAGAGUCAAACCCCAACGACUUGAGAGAGCCUAUCAUCAGAUACAUAAAAAAUGAAGAAGAACUAGAUGACAAGUCGGCCGCAGAACGCAUCACAAGACAGUCGGCCCACUACACCCUCAUAGGGGGGACACUGUACAGAAGGGGUGCGACAGGAGUCCUCAUGAAAUGCAUUCACUCGGCUAUUGGGAAACAACUGUUAGAAGAAAUCCACGCUGGGCAAUGCGGGGUACAUGCCGCAUCCAGAACCCUGGUUGGGAAAGCUUUCAGAUCUAUUUUCUAUUGGCCAACAACGAAGAGUGACGCUGCCGAGUUAGUCCAGAGAUGUGAAGCCUGCCAAUUCCUAUCAAAGCAACAACAUUUACCCACACAGCAGCUACAUACCAUUCCUAUAACCUGGCCUUUUGCAUGCUGGGGGCUAGACAUGAUUGGACCUUUCAAAAAAGCUCAAGGAGGCUAUACUCACAUACUGGUUGCCAUUGACAAAUUCACAAAGUGGAUAGAGUACAAGCCAAUCGCUUCCCUGACCUCAGCCAAAGCAGUGGAGUUUAUACAAGAUAUAAUAUUCAGAUUCGGGAUACCAAAUAGCAUCAUCACUGACCUAGGAUCCAAUUUCACUAGUUCUGAAUUCUUUGAUUUCUGCGAGCAAUAGAGCAUCCAAAUCAAGUAUGCGUCGGUAGCACACCUAAGAGUCAAUGGCUAAGUGGAAAGGGCCAAUGGAAUGAUACUGGAGGCACUCAGGAAGAAAAUAUUUGACAAAAAUGAAAAGCUCGCAGAAAAAUGGAUCAAAGAGUUGCCAUAUGUGGUUUGGAGCCUGAGAACUCAACCCAGUCGAGCUCUGCAUGGAAAUACCCCAUUCUUCAUGGUUUAUGGGUCGAAAGUAGUGUUGUCCGCCGACUUAAUAUUCGGGCACCAAGGCUGACUUUCGAAAGCAUAGCCGAGGCGGAGGCCACCAGACUAGAAGACAUCGAUGUGCUAGACGAAGAAUGAUUGGGCACAGUAAUUCAGUCGGCUAGAUACCAGCAGACCCUGAGGCGCUAUCAUGAUAAAGCUGUGAGACACCGGUCCUUUGCAGUGGGAGACUUGGUCCUUCACCGAAUUCUAACGGGGGAAGGAUGGCACAAGUUAUCACCACUAUGGGAAGGACCAUUCACCGUAUCAGAGGUCACUCGGCCAGGCUCAUACGAGCUUACUCAAACGGAUGGCACGGAAGUGGGGAAUUCGUGGAACAUAGAGCAUCUUAGAAAGUUUUAUCCUUAGCAAGGCCUCAAAAGCUCUCGAAGGAACGUUGUACUCUGUAAUCGGGGGACUUCAUCAUCAAUAAAGUUUUCAUUUCCAAAGGAAUUCAGACUCUUAACUUCCAGCUGACCUUGAUUUGAUUGGAUUUGAAAUCAGCACGCUUACUUGAAUGAGGGUGACCACUAUACCCUACUGACGGAGCAAUCGGCUUAAGUCGGCGAUGACUUAAGACGGUGCAACAUGCUCACGCUACCUCGGCUUAGAGUGACCACUAUACCCUACUGACGGAGCAAUCAGCUUAAGUCGGCGAUGACUUAAGACGGUGCAACAUACUCACGCUUACUUGACUCGGGGUGACCACUAUACCCUACUAACAGAGCAAUCGGCUUAAGUCGGCGAUGACUUAAGUCGGUGCAACAUGCUCACGCUUACUUGACUCGGGGUGACCACUAUACCCUACUAACAGAACAAUCGACUUAAGUCAGCGAUGACUUAAGUCGGUGCAACAUGCUCACGCUAACUCAGCUUAGGGUGACCACUAUACCCUACUAACGGAACAACGGCUUAAGUCAGCGAUGACUUAAGUCGGUGCAGUAUGUUCACAACCACUUAUCUUGGGGCGACCACUGCGCCCUACCGGUCAGAUGAUCGGUUUAAGUCAAAAAACGCCUUAAAACUAGCACGACACUAUUACUUUCAUAACUGUUCAGGGUGAUUGCUAUACCCUAACGACAAAAAAAUUAGCACUCCAGGAAGAAAAAGAACGUUUUACUUGUUGGCAUCAGGGGCACUUUUCGGCGCCCUGCUCACAAAAUAUUCGAGUUCUAACAUAACCAUCACAUACACAUAGAAUUCAUAUUACAUCAAGUGUUUUGCAGGACAUCACUUCAUCGAGACAUCUUUGUUAGCAAUGUCUUUCAAAGGAGCGGUAGAAGAGAAAGGACGACUCGAAGCAUCGGGUGCAGCCUUGACAUCAGCGACAAUAUCGUCAGGCACCAUGACGUCGGGCCUCCUCAUCAGGAUCUGCCCAGCGCGAAUGGCUUUGUCCAUAGCCUUGUUGCGGUGAGCCUUCAAAACGGCGCAGUUGUCCUCUGAAGCUUUGACAGCCAGUCGAGCAGCCUCUAGCUCUUGUGCGACAAGUUUCUUUGAAGCACGCAGAUCUCUAAUGGUCGAAUCCAUGGUUGAUAACAGCUAUCCAAGCCACAGAACUUCAUCUUGUGAUAUUUGUAGCUCGUGACGAUGAUGAUCCAGGUCCGACAUGGUGAAGCGGUGGCUCCUUUCCAAAAUAUUCAAGGAAUUGCUAGCGUCACGGUAUAACCUGUCUAGAUUAUCACGAGAGGCCGCGAGUGCUCGUUUCUCCUCCUACAAACAAGAAGCAACAUUCAGCACCCAGUCUACAAUAAGCGUGACGAAGUCAACCAAGGGAAUUUACAUCGUGUGCCAUCCUUUCAGAGUCAAGCUGAGCACUGAGGGAAGAAUUCAAAGAACGCGCGCCAUCCAAAGAAGCAGAAAUUUGGGCCAAGUCACCUGACUCUGAGAAUACUUCUCCUCAAGGUUAGAGCACCGUUGGGUUGAGUCGGCCUGGCUUCAAAGAUACUUUUCCUCAAGAUCAGAGCACCGCUAGGCCAUAUCCGACAAUGCAGCUGAAAAGUGAUGUGUGACUCAGAACAAGUUGAUUAAUAAAAACAACUAAGGAAGCUAUAAGGUCACCGACCAGCGUUCGAUGCCUUCAAGUCAGCAAUAUGUUUCUAAAGCAGCAAUGGGUUCCACUGCAUUAGAGACAGAGCUUCUUCUAGAACAGUGGCACCGCACGACCUCAGCUGGGUAGACAUUCCAUCAACCAAAGCCUGUAAUCAUAGACAGAUGUGCAGAAGAAAGAUAAUUCACUAAUAUGAACAAUGAAAGGCAAGAGGUUGACUCACCUGAAGAUUGGAGAGGAACAGUGGCAGACCCAAGGCAGGAGGAGCCGUGUCAUGGCUCGACGAGGGAAAAUCAACAAGAACAAUCUAAAGGGCAUUGUCAGGGGUGAUCUCAGCCCCGCCAACAGACAACAGGCUUCUCACAUCUAGCUCGCCGACCUCUAAGGUGCCUUGUUCAUUCAAGACUGUGGAAGCAUGCACCGUCGCCGCCCCAUCGGACCGAGGUGGGGACGACCCAACAUGGACAUCCAUGGAGGUGUGGGAGGAAGAGCCCACUCGAACACCCUCGGGGGCUGGGUUGCAACUUGCGCUACCCACCAGAGCCAGAUCACUACCGGCACCACCCUCGGGGGCUGGGUAACUGCCAGCACCACCCUCGGGGGCUGGGUCUUCUGCAGUAGCCACCUCUAAGGCUGAGGGCUCCUCCAUCACCUCCAUGGGAGUCGGUUGACUCGGACCAGCGUCUUGGCAUUGAAGGCUGUCCUCCAAAGUCGACGAUGCGUGAGACACCGCUUGGGUUACCUCCUGCCUAGCAAAGUCAAGCAAGGAAAGCCCACCGUCCGGGACCUCUGAACAGACGACCAGGAUAUCAUCGGCAGUGGGCUUUGACAGCAUAUCUUCGGGGACGACUUCCUCUAGUACUUGAUCAAAGUCGGAUAUUGAAAGUCCCUAAAGACUGACAAGAGCCGACAGAGCUGGAGUAGGGAUGUCGCUGCUCCCCUCACUUCCUCUAUAAUGCCGACUGUUCUUACGGAUCAGCAGGACUUCUUCCUCUUCAUCAUCAUCAAGCAUACAUCCAACAAUCUGUGCACCCUUGGCGUCAGCUUCUGGAACGGCCUCUGUUGGGACAUCAUCAGGAACUGGCACAGAAGGGCCAGCAUCCUGACCCAAGCACAAUAGUCGCCGGAGCCGCCUUUUCUUCUUCUUCUCCUCGAUAGGUGCAAUUGAGCAUCUCGCUCGGCGCGCACGCUUUGGGUGAGCACCCUCAGGUUUCCAAUUUUCCACCUCUUCACCAAACUCCUCCCCAGUUGUGAUAGCCAUUGGCUCGGUGCGGGUAGAGUUGGAUGAUUCCCCCACCAGCAGGCUAAGCACAACAUCUAUCUCAGCGUCAUCAGUGCUAGCUGGCAUCUCGAAGUGAGUCUGCCUCUCAUCUUCGGGAAUGUUCUGAAUUGAAGUAAUCGAGGCUUCGAUAUCUGCUGGAGAGGGUCGCACUCUAAGACCCAGGCUACCAUCACGAGCAGGAGGAUUGGACACAAACUCAGAAAAUGACCUGCUUGGUGGCAAGUUCCAAGCAGAAUAGGCCACAGGAACACCGACAUUUGAAAUUCUACCUCUCAAGAUCAUGUCCAGUUAGCUCAUCAGAUCUUCAGUGGGAAUCUUCUUGUUCGUGACCUAGGUAGAAUCAUUGACACCACUGUACAAAUAAGCAGGGUACGCCCUAUCCUUCAAGGGUUUGAUGUUCUUGAAAAUAAAAUCAGCAACCACGACCUCAGCAGUCAGACCUCUGUCCUUCAGCAAGCAGACCUCAGCAAGCAGUACCUUAGCCUCUGUUAUCUCCAAAGGAGUCGGAGAUUCUAUCUAGCUUGAUGUGCGGACAUCUGGUUGUCUCCCUGACCGAGGGGGGAGAGACAUGCAAUGGUUCUCCACAAUGAACCACUCAAGGCGCCACCCUUUGAUGCUAUCCUUGAGGGGAAUGUGGAGAUACUCUUCCUUUCUCCCAUGACGAAGCUCCAGACUCGCACCACCAACGAGCUGGUGCUGUCCCCCAGCCAUCUUGGGCUGACAGUGAUACAGGUAUUUCUAGAGACCGAAAUGGGGGAGAAUCCCGAGAAAGGUCUCACACAGAUGUACAAAAAUGGAAACUUGCAAGAUGGAAUUUGGGUUCAGAUGGGACAAGUUCAGUUUGUAGAAGUCAAGGAGGCCGCGGAAAAAGGGGAGACGAGAAGAGCAAGCCCGCGGAUAAGAAAUGGGACGUAGAUGGCGACUUCAUGGGUGUCCUCUGUCAAAACAGUGACCUCGCGGCAAAUUCGCCCAGAGCAUAGCUCUUUCGGAAGUAAAACCCCAACAUCGACAAGGUGAAGAAGAUAAGAUUCUGAGAUAACAGACAUGUGGUUACCCGCGAAUGGCAACUGGCUGUUGGGGUCGAUGGGCGGGAUGCUUGCCGUGACAGAGCUUUGCCUCUUUCGCUUCGGCGCCAUUGCAAUCUGGCCAGCGGAACGAAUAGAAGCAGGAUCUUGGGGAAGCAGAGGAGUGGUUCGAGGCGGAAUUGUGAAGUUAGGGCUCAGAAAUUAUAAACGCAUGUAGGUGCAAGUAUAAAUGGGGUUUUCUGGGUUGAGCACUACUUCUAAAAAGCGCCAAGUCAUUACUUGGGAAAGCAGAACUUUAGGCAUGACUCGCGUUACAUCUAAAACGCCGGUAUCAUCAGCUAUAACUCGACGGUUACCUCUAAAAUGCCAGCAGCAUCAAGCAUGACUCGGCGUUACCUCUAAAACGCUGGUAUCAUCGGCUAUCGCUCGGUGGUUACCUCUAAAAACGUCGGCAGCGUUAUAUGCAUGGAUGAACUACCAAGUGUGCAUGCAGAAAAAGCAGCAAGAGCACAAUGUUCACUGGAAGCAUCAGAAGUUUUUCAUUUAUAUUAAAGGGGGGUUACACAAACUCAAAGACUAACUCAUUAUGAGCCGGCCUUUUUACCCCUACCUUCUACUACAUUACAUUACCCUACAUUACAUUACUACAAUACUUACACUACACUAUACUACUAACUACUACUACUUUAUUCUAAUACUACUAACUACUACUACUACUUUAUUCUAAUACUACUACUACUACUACUAAUUAUCUAUACUAAUAUUUAAGCCAGUGGCGCCUUGCCACUGGCCUUGCCAUCGCCGCUUCUGCCCUUGCUGCCGUCGCCGCUCCUGCCGUCGCCGCCUCCUCCACUGCCGCCCUUGCCGCCGUCGCCGCCACCACCUCCACCGCUGUCGUCGCCACUACCGUCGCCUUUGUCGUUGCUGUCACCGCCGCUCCCUUCCUCGGACGAGUCGGAGGAGUUCUCCUCGUCCGAGGAGACCUCCGACUCAUUCGAGCCUUCGAGCCCGGCGCGCUCGACGGACCGGAUGUACGUCCACACCUCAGCGGCUAUCCCCUGGGAGUCGUCUGAGUCAUCGGACGACGUCGGGGGGGAGCGUACUUCGGGGACCCCUCGGACUCGGAGGAAACCUCCUCCUCCGAGUACUCGGAGUCACCAAAGUCCUCCGAGGGAGGACUCGGCUCGUGCUUCCGCUUGUCGUCAUAGCGACGUGGCGAACCCCGACCCUUUUUGUCCUUGCCCAUGGUUAGAUGGAGAAGGAGUUAGAAAAGAAGCAACAGAUGAUCGAAGGGUAAGUGAAGAGAACAACGGUGCAAGCAUGCUAUUUAUAAAGACCGGGAGUGACCGUCCACUUUCUACCACGCCCGCCGAACAGUCGCAAGUAUUCAAUAAGCAAUUCAAGCCGCUUGAAAAUGAGUCAGGCAACAGACGUCGCUUCGCGUAACACGACACUGUUUGGACCAAGGUCAACUGCUCGGAUGGCAUGAUUACACCCCACGGUCACAUCAAGUUACUACUCCAGGACAGUGUGCUAAACGCUUUAUGUACAAAGACGCCCCUUGGUCACACCCAUUGGGGGGACGGCCAGGAAUUUUCAUUAGAUUUUCUGAAGAAGUCAUAUCCAUACAGUAUACGCAAUGAAUAUACUAAGACAGAAGGAAGAGACUAGCAGAGAUCAAAGAAAAUCCAAAUAUAGCUACUGAGCUGCAAGCCUAAUCAGCAGAGGCAUUGAAGCGCAGAGCGGAGUGAAGACCAGCCAAGAGCCAUCUAGCAAACGUCCAAUCUAUCACUGAUCGAAUAAAUUACAGACCUAACAAGGAGUGGGCAGACGAUGUUGUUUGAAUUCGCAAGAACAUGAGAUGAAGACAAAAUGCUCAUUUUUCUAAAGCACAAGAUGAAGAUCUUUGAGUGGAUUAUUUUCAAAAAUCCACUCAAAGCUCGGGGGCUACACCCAUUAGGCACACCUCCGAUGCGUCCAAUAGAUUUUUAAUCCCAGGAGAAAGGAUGUUGAUCUCUAAAGCACGGAGUGAAAGUCUUCGAGUGGUUUGUUUUCAAAAAACCUACUCAGAGUUCCAGAUGCUAAUUUCUAAAGCACAAGCUGAUGACAGAAUGCUGGUUUCUAAAGCACGAAGUAAAAACCUUUGAGUGGUUUGUUUUAAAAAAACCUACUCAAAGUUCCAAAUGGCAAUUUCCAAAGCAUGGCACAAUGACAAGACACUGAUCUCCACAAUGUUGAAUGAGGGCUCUUGAGAAGACUGUUUUUACUGAAAUCACUUAAAGUUUAUGAGUAAAUGCUCAGUAGGUGCACCUUCGGUGCACCCAUCGCCAGAAUGGAAGUCAAGCCACAGAUUCGCAAGUGGGACUUAGAAUCUUUGGGCUGAUUAUUUCAAAAUCAAUCAAAGAUUGGGGGCUUGUGGGGGACAGAUAUCCCCCGGGUCCACUAGAAGGCAAGAAGGCCUCGCGAAAGGCUUUGUGAAGCGUCCCCAAUCCUCUGGGACUCAAAUGUGACACAAUUACUAGUCCCAGGAGACUAGUAAACACAUUUAUACAUCAGACGAUUCCAGAUCUGCUUAAACAAGAUAAACCUAUAAAGGUGGCGAUCAACUUUAAGAGUUGGUCCACAACUCGGGACAUAACAUCAGAGUGGGGCUGAAGCAGCCCGAUAUACGCAGCGAAGCAAAUCAGCGGUCCAACAGCCACAGGCAAGGUUGGGAACAGUCGUAACUCUUACCCGAUCUCCUUUUUCUGAAAAACAACAAAUAAGCAAGGGUGAGUACAAACGUACUCAGCAGCCCACCUUCACCCGCGGAAUAGGGAAAUCAGAUAUAAUGCAUGGAAUAUGUAGAGCUCAGGAUAUUUGCAGAAACAACAAUAUUUUAUGCAGGGUUGUUUUGAAAAACAUUUUGUAUUUUGCAAAGCGCAUCCUCUCCAAAAGGAGCAGGAAGUUUUUCAAUAUUAGAACAAAAUCCCCUGGACUAAACCAUCCAGGUAUCUCAGCAGUUUCCCACUGGUUUUCAUUUUCAACAAUAGCUACUGGACUUCCCGUCCACCAUAGCUACGGCUCAACCGCCGGUCCUUAUAAAAACCACUUUUCUCAAAACCAUCUAUUUUUUUUUGAAAAACAAAACAUUAAUUGCCAUACCAUACCAGACUCGUCCAUUCAUGUGGACACAGACUAUUCGAAUAGGUUUGAACUCUACGCAGAGGGGUACACUUUACCCACUAGUUCGGCUCUGCGAUCCCUAGGGAUGGAUCCGGAUAUUUAUUCGGAUGUCAAUUUUUUGGUCUUCUUUCUUCGAUUGUGAACAAAUAACAUAUAGAAUUUGCUAUGUAAAUUUAUAUUCUUGUUUUUAGCAUUGAGGUUAUUAAUCUUCACAAAAAAUAAACAUUAAAUUCGUUCUAGAUAUUUUUAAAUAAUUGAUAUAAAAUUCGGAUGUCUAUCCGAAUACGGAUUCGGAUGUUUUUUCACCUUUUUUGUUGUAGGGAGAAAAUAAUGUACAUAAAAAAAUAUACAAAAAUUUAUUUAAAUACUUCAUAAUAUUCUUCAUAACAUUGCCAAAAAUUAGCUUUAAAUUAUAUGUAUAUCUAUGCUAAAAUAUUAGAUUUGUGAUACAAUUCGGAUGUUUUAGGAACAUCCCUAGCGAUCCCAUGGCCAAUGAGACCCGAAUCCGACUCUCUUUCUUUCCCCGCACGUCCUAACCUUAACGGUUAUCCGGAAGGAGUCAGGCCACCACCAUGUCCAAACCGGACAAAACUUUCCCCCUCCUUAUCCUCCCGGUGCUCCCUAGCCUUCAUAACCCUGGGGUUGGACCGUACGAGUUCAGAUUGAGUGACUGCCCACACAGUCUCGAGUGGUUGUACUAUUAAAGAGUAUAGGUAGUGAAGAUGACAAACCGGUCCUUAUAUGAGGGGACAAUCCUUCUGCUCACGCCUAAACCAGCUGAGCCAACACCUUAGGCCCUCCCCUAAACCAGGGAGUCCCUGAUUAUCCCACUCACAAGGUGAUAAGGGUGAAAACCCUUCAUCACACACAUUUUGAAAAGCAUUUUCUUUUGAAAACUCACACAUGUUCUCAAAUCAUUUGGAACAUAUAUAUCAGGGAUUGAUUGCGGCAAGCGGUUGGGUGGCCAUAAUAACUUGUCUCAAAAUCAUAUCAUGCAUAAAAUAACAGGCUGAGGGUUGUGGUUGAAAAAUCAUAGGUAAUUUAUGCAUCAAAGGGAUCCAGUGAGCUUGUCGUGCUUAUCCGGCGAAGGGGGAAGGGGAGCUCGCGGAACUGGCUUCUGGCUCCACCGCCUAGCGUAGACUUGCGGAUCUGGCCUCCACGAGACGGCACGAACGCUCCGAUAACUAUGCAACAUGAACAAGCAAACAUACAAACGAGCAAGUAUACCAACAAAUAUUUAGUAUAGUGGUCAGAAUAGCGAUAUAUGGAUGGGUAGAGUCUUGAGUAGAAUCUGUGUCAUGUGGUGUUGUGAUAUUACUAGUGGUGGAGCGGAGGUGCUUACCAGGAGGGUGGACUGGAGGCGAAGCGACACUAUGCGUGUAGCCGGCAGAGCAGAGUAACUGAGUGGGUGGGGUGUUUGCCUUGGCUGAGGGUGUUGAGUGUGUGUGGAGAGGGAGAGGGUAGCUGGGUGUAUUUAUAGCUGGGCGUAUGUGGUGUAGCACAGUGAAGUUCACUGUUGGUGAGAACAGUGACGAAUGAAUCGUCUGACUUAGUAUGAACAGGAGAGUUAUAGGUAGAAUAUGGGACAAGAGUAUUUUGGGAGUCUUCUGAAAUAUGAACCAUGUUUAAGGGAUGACAUGGUUGGAUAGGGAAUAAUUCGAUAAGAAUUUAGAAACAAGAAUUAUUGGAAUCGGAGUUUGGAAGCCUGGUUCGAAGGAAUCUCAAAGUCAAGCAUGCUCAACUUGGAAAAACCUGGGAUGGGUGACCAGAUGGGAGGUUCCUACUAGAAGGAAAAUCACAGUCACCAGAGUUCGUAUGACUGGAACAUGGGUCUGGCUGGUCUUAGGUGGACUGGACAACAUGAUGGAUGAGUAGUUGAAAUUUGGGAUAACUAGAUGACUGAUGGAUAGUAACGAUGAAUAGUAGCGACGGAAAAGUAAUUAUAGAUAUCAUCGAUGAAUAGUAACGAUGAUGAAUAGUAACGAUAAACAGUAACGAUAAUAAAUAGUAACAAUGAAUAGUAACGAUGGUGAAUAGUGUCGGUGAAUAGUAAUGAUGAAUAGUAACGGUGAAUAGUGAUGGUGAAUAGUUCAUAUGAACGAACGAUGAACGAUGAAUAGGAACUAUGAACGAACGAACGAAUGAUCGAAUGAUCGGACGAACGAACGAUCGGAAUUUCGGCAGCAUAACGGCAGGACAAAGAUUAUCUGGAAGAACGAUGAAUAGGGACUAUGAACGAACGAUGAACGAUGAAUAGGAACUAUGAACGAACGAACGAACGAUCGAAUGAUCAGACGAACGAACGAUCGGAAUUUCGGCAGCAUAACGGCAGGAUAAAGAUUAUUUGGAUGAACGAACGGACGAACGAUCGAAUGAUCGGACGAACGAACGAUCAGAAUUUCGGUAGCAUAACGGCAGGACAAAGAUUAUCUGGAAGAACGAUGAAUAGGGACUAUGAACGAACGAUGAACGAUGAAUAGGAAAUAUGAACGAACGAUGAACGAUCGAAUGAUCGAACGAACGAACGAUCGGAAUUUUGGCAGCAUAACGGUAGGAAAAAGAUUAUUUGGACGAACGAACGGACGAACGAUCGAACGAUCGGACGAACGGACGAAUAAACCAUGAACGAUCGGACGAACGAUCGAACGAUCGGACGAACGAACGAACAAACUAAGAACAGGGGACGAACGAUCGAAGAACGAUCGAACGAUCCUUGUGCUAGUGUGUGCUUGUGUGGAACAUGGAGUGGGUGUGUGUGGGGGGGGGAGAGUUGCCAUGAAAUGGCUUGGGGUGGGAUGAGAGGAGGCCCUUGCCCCUCUAUUUAUAGCCAUGGUGGGGGGAUUAGGGGGAGGGAUGAGAGGAUUAGUGGGAGGAUGAGAGGAUUAGUGGGAGAUUAGCAUGUAUUUGUCUUGUAUAAGUGAGAUUAGCUUGUGGAGCUCACCGUAUGACACUAGAGGCAUACGUAUAUGUAUGAGCAUGAGGAAAGUUAUGAAGAAAAUAUUUAUAGGGACUUGAAAAAUGAUUCUGAAGGUAUUUCUCAAGAGGAAAAUAUCUGGAGAUAUAUCGGUGGAAUAUUUGGGCAGUAUUUCUGGAAAGAACUUGAAGGGGAUUACUCGGGAAAUAUCUGGGCGGUAUUUCUGGAAGAAUUUGAGGGGGAUCACUGGAGAAAUAUCUGGGCGGUAUUUCUAGAAGAAUUUGAGGGGGAUCACUGAAGAAAUAUCUGGGCAGUAUUUCUGAAAAGAAAUUAAAGGUGAUCACUGGGGAAAUAUUUGUAGAAUAUUUUGAGGAGGAUUUUGGAGAGAAUAUAGACCACUAUAAUUUAUUUGUUGAUAUCAACUUGCAAACAAACAUUUUGAAACGAAAUUUGAAAUUCAUUUUGAAUUUAGAGGGAGUUUGAGAAAAUUUCAAGAUUUGAAUUUUUGGGAUGCUACAAAUCUACCCCACUUAAAAGGAAUCUCGUCCUCGAGAUUCGGCUUAGAAGGGUUAUGGGUAUAGCUUUACUUCAGCUACAUAUCUUCACUUUGCAACCCUUCGAGGAGAUGGAACUUCAACAAAAUCUGGUCUUUGAGGAGCAUCCGGUUGCAAACACUGAUUUUGGCUACUCAAAGAUCAUCUUCAGCCUUCUAGGUUUCGCUUGGCAGCCAGCUUAUUGAAGAAGCAUCGAUGCCAACACGCAAACCUUCCUCUUGCGAACUUCCACAUGGAUUCCUUACUUGAUUGGUCUUCUGGUGCUUCAUCAACAAAACUUGUGUGAUCACUUCUCAUCCAGAAACUUAUAUGCUUGGACGAUCGGGUCCUCCACAAGCUUGCUACAGGCCUUCUUCUUUUUCUCCAUAGCAGGAACAUUACUGGAACACUACCCCACUUAAAAUGGAUGAGGGUAGAACACCUGAAUCUUGGGGAUUUGAACUCCUUGAAGUACCUCAUAACAAGGGCGUUACGGGGCCUUCUUCUGCUGUUGCUGCUUGAGUAGGCUGCGGAGAAAUGACUGACACAGGGUUGAUUCUGGGACAACCUUCUUCUCAUCUUCUCUUCACUAUCUUCUUUUCUCUUCUCACUUUUCACUUUUCACUGCCUCUUUCUUUCUCUUUGCUCUUCCCACUCGAGGAUUCUAUCAAAGAGUAUUACUUUCAUACACUGGAGGAAACCAAAGACUAUGAACCAUGUGCAACAGUCUUCAACCCAAGAAUUACCAAGCAUUGUGAUCUCAGGGGCGAGGGAGUGGAAAAUGGAGUUGCUUGCGAUUUGGCAGAGGGGGUUUUAUCUGGAGUGUUUUGCUUGGGAUGGGAACUGAGGGAGCUGGUGGGGGGGGUUUAUAGGCGAGCGGGUGCUCGGGUGCGGAGUGGCGGUGAUGGAGUAGGUGCCAUGCGGUAGCAAACACGACAAGGGGAGGGGGGGCCUGUUACCGGCGACGAUGGCGGUGGGUGCGCUGCAAAAGGGGGCGUGGGUGGCGGUAGUGCGCUGCAAAGGGGGCGUGGGGCGGUGGUAGUGCGCAUGGAGGCGGGCACGCGUGCGAGGGGCACGGGUGAGUGGUGGGGUCAAUGACCCUGAUGUUUGUGGUCUCUGGUUCCAAGAAUCUUUGCCUCUCUGUAUGGUAAUAACUCCUUUUGUCCUCUUUUCCUAUUUACUUUGACUCAGGGGCAGUGCUUUGAUUCUCACGGUCGGUCCUUUUGACUGAGCGGCUGGACUGGUUUCUUCUGUAGCUUGUUCCAGGCUUCAAGGGUAAGCUUCCCAGUAUCUUCUUGGGUAAGGUGCUUUUCUCUUGAGAUGGGUUAAGAUGAGAAUGGAAGCAUAAGGUGAGGAUUAGAUCUAAUUUGUGAUCUAUGUUUUUAGAGAAAACCUUUCUUAAAAAAAGAAAACACACAAGCUCAGCAAUGAUAAGCACAAACAAAUCGAAUGUUUUGAAUAAGGGAAUGAUAGAGUUUUUCCAAAGCACGGACUACUCAGAUUCGGGGGCUAAGCAUAACUACUAUUGCUUGGCUCCUGAAUUGAGAACUAUGCUAAAUGCGACUUAUGAGCCCUAACGUUAAAGCAUCACAUAUACACUCAAAAGGGGAGAAAACAUCAAGCGAAAUUCAUUUUGAAAUGCCCUAGGGGGCCACACAAAUAGAGUUUUGCAAAACACGAGUCUACACGAUUACCUUUCAUACAUGCAGGGCUCUAGCCAAAGUGAAGAAAAACUUCACUACCCAAUGCAUGCAGAGGACUGGGCAUGACUAACUUCAGACCAGGCAGCUUCUCUUCUAGCAGGGCUGGCACACAACUUCAAUCUGAUACAUCUCCUGGAUGGGUCAAGAGGGAGCUGAUGUUGAUGACUUCUUCUGGCGGCGACUGAGAUGGCAGGACAGGGUCGAACUCUUCUUCAAGCGGAACUGGCUCUUGUAGCUCCUCUGAGGGCGGCGGUGCUGGCGGGGUGCUUGCAGCUUCUUCCUUGACCUCAAGGGACGGUGCUGGAAUCUUCUUCAUGGUGAGGGGCUCACACAACUCCGGUGGGGGAUCUUGGGAGGACUCGGGGUGCUCUUGCUUAUCCAUAGCCUUAGGGGAGACUGGAAUUCCUUCCAAGACUAUGGCUCCUUCCGGUAGUUCCCAAGCCUUCUUCUCUCCUCUGAUAGAGACCAGGUGACCUUCAAGAAUCUGAGGGUCUUCAGCUCUCCUGGGUUGAACUGGGUUGGAUGGAGCGGGCUCUUGGAUCCGCAGGGCUCUACGUUGGUUAUGGGUUACCAAGUAGGCCUCCAUCAACUUCUGGACAUGCUCAUCCUUGGCUUGCUUCAGGGCUUCAACAGCAAUGACUUCACGACUUUCCAAGGCAGCUACACGGGCUUGAGCUAUGGUGAGAUCCACAUGGAGCUUACGGUUGAGCUUCUCUUCAUUUUCUGCUCGAGCAAUCAUCUGACGGUGGUGCCGAGCCAAGAAAUCAUACUACGCAUCCAGGGUGAGCAGGUAUGCAGUGAGGUACACGACUGUGGGGUCGUCCUCAAGCAGCUGCUUUCCUUCCAAUGCACGCAUCCUGGCCAUCUAAGCAGGACGGUCUCUCUGAAAGGGCGGAAAGAAUCUGAGCGGGGUGUCGGCCACUUCUUCUUCAUAAAUCUGACACAGGGUCCUCAAUGCCUUGCGGGCGACGACUUGGCAGGUGUCUUUGAAUCUGUGCCCAGCAGCAGUGGCACUCCAUUCCACAUGGUGCGGACUGGAUCCAAUGUAUACAGUCACGACACACUUCUCCGUGCCAUGCUCGAUGAAUUCACGACCAUCAUACUCUGGCUGCCUCCUGAUUCCGAGGCGGACUGUGCAUGCUUUCAGUAACUUGGGAAAACCAUCUUCAUUCUGGCAAAAGUUGGUUUGGCAGCGAACCUCCAUCUGACUUCUGAGAGAAGGAAAGGGGGAAAGCAUUUUUGAAAUGAAGGGAUAAGAGCAAGAAUUUUUUUAAGAAAAUAGUUUUGACUCAAAAACUUUUGGAUCAGGCUAAGGGUUACGUCCUGCGGCCAACCUAACAGCUCUGAUACCACCUGAAGCGUCCCCAAUCCUCUGGGACUCAAAUGUGACACAAUUACUAGUCCCAGGAGACUAGUAAACACAUUUAUACAUCAGAUGAUUCCAGAUCUGCUUAAACGAGACAAACCUAUAAAGGUGGCGAUCAACUUUAAGAGUUGGUCCACAACUCGGGACAUAACAUCAGAGUGGGGCUGAAGCAGCCCGAUAUACGCAGCGAAGCAAAUCAGCGGUCCAACAACCACAGGCAAGGUUGGGAACAGUCGUAACUCUUACCCGAUCUCCUUUUUCUGAAAAACAACAAAUAAGCAAGGGUGAGUACAAACGUACUCAGCAGCCCACCUUCACCCGCGGAAUAGGGAAAUCAGAUAUAAUGCAUGGAAUAUGUAGAGCUCAGGAUAUUUGCAGAAACAGCAAUAUUUUAUGCAGGGUUGUUUUGAAAAACAUUUUGUAUUUUGCAAAGCGCAUCCUCUCCAAAAGGAGCAGGAAGUUUUUCAAUAUUAGAACAAAAUCCCCUGGACUAAACCAUCCAGGUAUCUCAGCAGUUUCCCACUGGUUUUCAUUUUCAACAACAGCUACUGGACUUCCCGUCCACCAUAGCUCACGGCUCAACCGCCGGUCCUUAUAAAAAACACUUUUCUCAAAACCAUCUCUUUUUUUGGAAAACAAAACAUUAAUUGCCAUACCAUACCAGACUCGUCCAUUCCUGUGGACACAGACUAUUCGAAUAGGUUUGAACUCUACGCAGAGGGGUACACUUUACCCACUAGUUCGGCUCUGCGAUCCCAUGGCCAAUGAGACCCGAAUCCGACUCUCUUUCUUUCCCCGCACGUCCUAACCUUAACGGUUAUCCGGAAGGAGUCAGGCCACCACCAUGUCCAAACCGGACAAAACUUUCCCCCUCCUUAUCCUCCCGGUGCUCCCUAGCCUUCAUAACCCUGGGGUUGGACCGUACGAGUUCAGAUUGAGUGACUGCCCACACAGUCUCGAGUGGUUGUACUAUUAAAGAGUAUAGGUAGUGAAGAUGACAAACCGGUCCUUAUAUGAGGGGACAAUCCUUCUGCUCACGCCUAAACCAGCUGAGCCAACACCUUAGGCCCUCCCCUAAACCAGGGAGUCCCUGAUUAUCCCACUCACAAGGUGAUAAGGGUGAAAACCCUUCAUCACACACAUUUUGAAAAGCAUUUUCUUUUGAAAACUCACACCUGUUCUCAAAUCAUUUGGAACAUAUAUAUCAGGGAUUGAUUGCGGCAAGCGGCUGGGUGGCCAUAAUAACUUGUCUCAAAAUCAUAUCAUGCAUAAAAUAACAGGCUGAGGGUUGUGGUUGAAAAAUCAUAGGUAAUUUAUGCAUCAAAGGGAUCCAGUGAGCUUGCCGUGCUUAUCCGGCGAAGGGGGAAGGGGAGCUCGCGGAACUGGCUUCUGGCUCCACCGCCUAGCGUAGACUUGCGGAUCUGGCCUCCACGAGACGGCACGAACGCUCCGAUAACUAUGCAACAUGAACAAGCAAACAUACAAACGAGCAAGUAUACCAACAAAUAUUUAGUAUAGUGGUCAGAAUAGUGAUAUAUGGAUGGGUAGAGUCUUGAGUAGAAUCUGUGUCAUGUGGUGUUGUGAUAUUACUAGUGGUGGAGCAGAGGUGCUUACCAGGAGGGUGGACUGGAGGCGAAGCGACACUAUGCGUAUAGCCGACAGAGCAGAGUAACUGAGUGGGUGGGGUGUUUGCCUUGGCUGAGGGUGUUGAGUGUGUGUGGAGAGGGAGAGGGUAGCUGGGUGUAUUUAUAGCUGGGUGUAUGUGGUGUAGCACAGUGAAGUUCACUGUUGGCGAGAACAGUGACGAAUGAAUCGUCUGACUUAGUAUGAACAGGAGAGUUAUAGGUAGAAUAUGGGACAAGAGUAUUUUGGGAGUCUUCUGAAAUAUGAACCAUGUUUAAGGGAUGACAUGGUUGGAUAGGGAAUAAUUCGAUAAGAAUUUAGAAACAAGAUUUAUUGGAAUCGGAGUUUGGAAGCCUGGUUCGAAGGAAUCUCAAAGUCAAGCAUGCUCAACUUGGAAAAACCUGGGAUGGGUGACCAGAUGGGAGGUUCCUACUGGAAGGAAAAUCACAGUCACCGGAGUUCGUAUGACUGGAACAUGGGUCUGGCUGGUCUUAGGUGGACUGGACAGCAUGAUGGAUGAGUAGUUGAAAUUUGGGAUAACUAGAUGACUGAUGGAUAGUAACGAUGAAUAGUGGCGACAGAAAAGUAAUUAUAGAUAUCAUCGAUGAAUAGUAACGAUGAUGAAUAGUAACGAUAAACAGUAACGAUGAUGAAUAGUAACAAUGAAUAGUAACGAUGGUGAAUAGUGUCGGUAAAUAGUAAUGAUGAAUAGUAACGGUGAAUAAUGAUGGUGAAUAGUUCGUAUGAACGAACGAUGAACGAUGAAUAGGAACUAUGAACGAACGAACGAAUGAUCGAAUGAUCGGACGAACGAACGAUCGGAAUUUCGGCAGCAUAACGGCAGGACAAAGAUUAUCUGGAAGAACGAUGAAUAGGGACUAUGAACGAACGAUGAACGAUGAAUAGGAACUAUGAACGAACGAACGAACGAUCGAAUGAUCGGACGAACGAACGAUCGGAAUUUCGGCAGCAUAACGGCAGGAUAAAGAUUAUUUGGAUGAACGAACGGACGAACGAUCGAAUGAUCAGACGAACGAACGAUCGGAAUUUCGGCAGCAUAACAGCAGGACAAAGAUUAUCUGGAAGAACGAUGAAUAGGGACUAUGAACGAACGAUGAACGAUGAAUAGGAACUAUGAACGAACGAUGAACGAUCGAAUGAUCGAACGAACAAACGAUCGGAAUUUUGGCAGCAUAACGGUAGGAAAAAGAUUAUUUGGACGAACGAACGGACGAACGAUCGAACGAUCGGACGAACGGAUGAACGAACCAUGAACGAUCGGACAAACAAUCGAACGAUCGGACGAACGAACGAACAAACUAAGAACAGGGGACGAACGAUCGAAGAACGAUCGAACGAUCCUUGUGCUAGUGUGUGCUUGUGUGGAACAUGGAGUGGGUGUGUGUGUGGGGGGGGUGUGAUACCCGGUUUUGCAAAGAAGAGAAGUUGGGGGUUGUUCUUUUGUUUUUUCCCUCAUCCGGUUGUGGUUUUGGGGAUUUGGGAUUUUGUGGAAAACAUUCACAACUAGGGCAGUAGAAUUGUUUUGGUUUGAUGCUUGUGUUGGGGUCAGGAGCUGUCGCGUGGGUUAGUUGGGCCGCGAUUGGUGUUUCGGCCCAUUAAUCCUCCCAAACCCUAGCCGCCUCCCUCCUAACCCCCUCCCCCCUUGUGCAGCCCCCCCACUCCUCCCACUCCUUGGCCGCCGCCCCCUGCCCAUCUCCUCCUCUCUCAAUUUUUGCAGCCACACCCCAUACCCUAGCCGCCCCCCCUCAAUCUCCUCCUCCCAAGGUGCCAAUCCUUGCCGCUCGGAUCAUCGUCUCGUGGUGCGAUUCUCCAAUCGUUUUGGUGGAGGGAAGAAGGGAGGAAGGAAAGGGGGAGAAUCCAAGGUGAUUUUUGUGUUCAUCCCUUGUUCUUUUGCGCUGCGAUUCAAUUGAUUAGAUGUUGCGUUUGCGAUUGGAUAGAGGGGGCUGUCCAGAAUUUUACGUGGUGGAUGAACGGCGGAAGUUCUAGCAGUUUCUAGGUUUUUUUCGUGAAAAAUUAAUGGGGAUCAAUUUGAGGAUCUUGUAGAACUUUGUUUUACCUUUCCAACGAGUAUUUAUGCGCUCAAUUUGGAGUUAUAAAUUAAAAGUUAUCAUCGUUUGAAUCCGGGUAUGUGGCUGUCCAAAAAAACAGAUUUUUCAGAAGGAUGAACAGCAGCAGUAUUAUCAGUUUCUGGGGAUUUUUCGGGAGUAAUUAGUGUUAAUCAGUAUGAGAAUCAUGUAGGGCUUUUUCUUAUCUUUCCAACAAGUACUUAUGCGCUCAAAUCGGAAUUAUAUUUUAAAAGUUAUCGCUGUUUGAACCCGAGUAUGUCGCUGCCCAAAUCAGAAAAAAAAAACAGAUUGCAGGGUUUAUUUUGUGGACCGUUUAGAGGUAAUUAGAUGUUAGAAUUUAAUCAUGAGUUGUAUACAAAACUUGUGGGGAAUUUUAUGUAGUUGUCUCUGGAGUUUUUGUUUGACACCACUGCUGUCCUAAUUUUUAAGUUAUGGAAUUGUUAAGCAGCGCCGCUGCAGUUUGGUUGGUGAGGGGAGAAUUGUUACCGCGGCGGGGUUUGAGAUUGCGCGUAGGUGCGGUGUUGUCUUUGAGUUUUUUAUGUGAAUUUGGUGCACUAAGUUGGGUGUCAAAAACAGGUGGUGGACUUCCGGAUCGUUCUUAGGGAUUUUGCCCAAACUUCCGGUGAAGGCAAGUAAACUUGUGAUGGUUAUUCCGUCUGGCAAAUGAGGAGUCUUAUUCUUGAAUAUGUUGUGCUAUUAUGUUCAUAUUCAUAUUUUGUUUGUUUAUUGAGUACCAUCAUUUGAGAAUGUUCAUGUUUCAUGAAUUUCAUAUGUUGAGUUUGAGGUUUGAUCAUGUUACUCAAGUGGUUAUUAUGUGGAAUGGGUGGAAGUAUAUGACUAGCACAUUUUUAUUUGGGAAGAACUUAUGAUGUUGUCAUGCAUAAUGCACUCAUCAUCCAUUGCAUUGAAGUUUCGUCGCGAUCUUAUGGUCCGACCGUACCAGUACAUUGAGCAUCAUAUGUUGCCCGAGAAGGGGUAUGGUGCAGCUUCAUAUCCUUAGAGAUAUGGAGGCAGAAGUCAUUAUUGCAUUUGUAGCCAUGUGCAUUCAUGGGAGAGGUGUGGAAUCUAUUAUGUGGAUGUGGAUAAUCUAGACUUGUGCAUGGUGUUUCUUCUUGGCGUUAAGUAUUUAUUUACUUGUGUACUUGCUGCAAUUUACUGUCGAAAAAAAGAAAGAAGUUCUGAACCACGUGGUUGUAUAAGCACAGUUGAUUUACAAUGUCCUAUUUGUUGUGGUUAUGUUUACUUGCUGAGAUGUGUUAUCUCACAUCUUGCAUUGUUUGAUGCAGGCACCUAAUUUCUGCUUGGGGAAUAGAGGGAUGUAGCAGCACGGCCACUUCACCUUUAAUUAAAGGAACCCCCACUUAAUAAUGUUGUUAAUCAGAGUUGGUCAAGUCCAGUGAAUUACUUUGUUCUUGGUUGAGCGUUUGUUUUGGGUGGGCUGAGUUCCUUAUCCCAUUUGUUUUACUUCAGUUGGGUCCUAAUUAAGUUUUACCACUUUUGCAUUUUUGUUUCUACUACGUGAAUUAUAUGUCUUUAUAUCUUGUAUGAACUUCAUGUUUCCCCUCCUCGUUAUGCUAGUUUUCAAAGGAGGUGCUGCCGGAUUUUUCUUGCUUUAUAUUCUUUCUUUAUUACAUCUCUUGUGUUGAGUCAGUUUGGUGGGUGGGGUUUGUGGUAUUAUCCAUUCUGUGCGACCAGUGGGGUGUUACAGUUGGUAUCAGAGGUAUAGGCUGUAGGUCCUAGCAAGUGGAGUAGUAAUAAAUUGACACACUGCACAUGUAGGAUGGGUUUUCUGUCUUGCUAUUGAUAUGAUUAUGUUAUUGUCUGUGCUAGUUUUGACAUUAUCUAGAGAGAUGUUAUGCUUAUCUCAUUUACUUAUUAUUCUCAUCCCUGUGGCUGCAGCUAUGCCGCCUCGUAGAGCUCGGGGUAGUCCGCAAGCUCCUAGUGGGGACUCGAUGAGUCCGGCGGCAAUGUUAGCCGCGAUGCAGGCCAUGCAGCAGGAGUUGGCCCUUCUGAGGCAAGCCAUUCCUGUCGCCCCUGCGGGUGCUGCUCAGGGUGCUAGAGGUGGAGAAGUGCCCGGGGGCGCUGUCCCUGCGGGUGCUGUUCCAGGUGGCGGGGCCGAGGUGCCUCUUCCAGUCAGUGGUCUUUCUCUGAUGCAGUGGAUGGGCAUGAAGUUGGAUUCUUUUGAUGGCAGUGGUACUCCGGUCGAGGCGACAGAUUGGUUGACUUAUGUGGAGGAUAAGAUGAAUGUCUUCGAGAUUGCAUAUGGAGAUUGGGUUCGCUUUGGCACUCAGCUGCUGAAGGGAGAGGCUCAAAUUUGGUGGAGAGGCGUGCAGGCAGCGCGCUCCUCCUCACCAGGAGUCCUAUCUUAGGAUGUUUUCAUCAGACAGUUUGAAAGGAGGUUCUACCCGGUCACCUUUCUGGAGAAAAUGAAGAUUGACUUGCAGUCCUACAAGCAGGAGAAGAAGUCUGUCACAGAGUAUGAGGUGGGCUUCAACAAGAUGGUCCGCUUUGUCCCUCAUGUGGCUUAUAAUGAGAUGGAGAAGGCGAGCCAAUUCCGUCAGGGUCUGAAGCCUUCUAUUAGGCAUGCACUGGGGGCUUUUCUGUUGGUGGACUUCCGUACCACGGUGGAGCAGGCGCUGGGUGUGGAGAUGCAACACCAGUAUACCAUGGAGUCGCAGAAGUCUUCGGGUGUUGAUCAGCCUUGUAGUCAGGACGCGAGGAGAGGCAACACUGGAGGUCCAGCUCACAAGAGGGGCAAGUCUCAGCAUCAGCGCCACCAUCCUUACCGUGGCAAAUCUUCUGACUCAGGUACUUCGGGAGGAAGUACUCAGAGGUUUCGGGCCGUUCCUAAGCCCGGGCUGGGGCUGGUGUGUUUCCGCUGUGGAGAUGCGCAUCGCCGUGCAGAGUGCCAGUGGAGUGGCAGGUGUUCUAUCUGCAGUCAGGACCACAAGGAUGUGGUGUGUAGGAGGAAUCCCAAUGGGAAGCUCAGAUGGGAGCCGGUGACUUCCUCCUCUUCUUAGGGCACUAUCAACAUGAUGUCAAGUGCUGAGCAGCAGUUUUCAGUUCCUCUUCCUCCACAGCAGCUUUAUGUGCCUGGGACCUCUCAAUUUGUGCCGAUGCAAGGUUUUCCUUAGUAUCAGGCUGUGCCUACUCCUGCACCGUCUACCCCUGUGCUGACUCAGUUUGGAGCUCUGCGCCAGCCUCCUCCGGUGGCUCAGUGGGGUUCUUCUGUUAAUUUCACUCCGGGAGCUUCCUCUUCUGCGGGUAUUUCUGGAGCUUAUGUGCUACCCGCUGCGGAUGGCAGGGAGCAAGGAGACGUGGUGACAGGUACGAUUUCAGUUGAUUCGUUUGCUGCCCAUGCUCUUUUUGAAUCUGGUGCUAGCUAUUCGUUUGUUUCGGAGGAUUUUGUGUCGCGGGCUGGUCUUUUGGUGCAGAGGCUGGGUCACCCAAUUUUGGUUAGAUCUGCUAAUGGCUCCAUUAGUAGCUGCUCAGUUGGUCAGGGGUGUUCUGUCAUUCUUGCUGAUGAGGUCUUUGCGGCCAAUUUGGUGGUGAUUUCCUUGGGGGCGUUCGAUGUUAUCUUGGGUAUGGACUGGUUAUCCCAGUAUCGCGCGGUUAUAUCCUGCUUCUGGAAGACAGUGUUAUUGCAGGCGCCGCCGGGAAAGGAGGUGGUAUUCUUGGGAAGUUCCCCGAAGUUCUCGCUAUCCCUGUUGGCGCAAUUGCUUCCUGAUCGCCGAUCAAGGAAGUUGGGGAUCUUUUUCUCCAUGGUGGUGGAGGGUGAGGCAGCCUCGCGGGUGUAGGACAUUCGGGUGGUGUGUGACUUUGCUGACGUGUUUUCGGCAGAGCUUCCAGGCAUUCCUCCGGAGCGCGAUGCAGCUUUUGAGAUUAAGCUGAUUCCGGGUAUGCAGCCUAUUCAUUAGGUCCCAUAUCGAAUGGCCCCAAAGGAGCAGAUUGAAUUAAAGCGACAAUUAGAUGAUCUACUGGCUAAAGGCUUCAUUAGGCCUAGCAGGUCUCCAUGGGCUUCCCCAGUAUUGUUUGUUGAGAAGAAGGAUAAAAGCAAGCGGCUGUGUGUGGAUUAUCGCGCUUUGAAUCAAGUGACAAUCAAGAAUAAAUAUCCGCUUCCCUGAAUUGAGGUCCUCUUUGAGCAGUUGAGGGGUGCCCAGGUGUUCUCCAAAAUUGAUUUGAACUCUGGUUAUCAUCAAUUGAGGAUUCGUGAGGAGGAUAUCGAGAAGACUGCCUUCUGCACCAGGUAUGGGCAUUAUGAGUUCAUAGUCAUGUCUUUUGGCUUAACUAAUGCCCCUGCUGCCUUUAUGGAAGCAAUGAAUAGGAUGUUGCAUGAAUUCCUGGACGACUUUGUGGUCGUGUUCCUGGAUGAUAUUCUGAUUUAUUCAAAGACGAGGCCGAGCAUGAGCAGCAUCUCCGUCUCGUUCUGGGUGCCCUAAGGAAGAAUCAAUUCUAUGGCAAGUUGAAGAAGUGCGCCUUUUGGCUAUCCGAAGUGGCUUUCCUGGGGCACGUGAUUAAUCAACAGGGUAUUGCGGUUGAUCCCAAAAAUGUUGCGGCUGUGGUGGAGUGGAAGAGACCCUCUAGUGUCUCUGAAAUUCGAAGUUUCUUGGGGCUUGCCGGGUAUUAUCGGCGCUUCGUACCAAAUUUUUCCGGCAUUGCUAAGCCUUUGACUAGGCUCUUGGAGAAGGGUGUUCCCUUCGUCUGGUCCGGCGAUUGUGAGGUCAGUUAUCAGUCAUUGAAGAGCAAGUUGGUGGACGCCCCUAUCCUAGCUUUGCCUGAGAGCGGUAAGCGUUUCACAGUUUAUAUGGAUGCUUCGCGUAUUGGUCUUGGCUGUGUGCUGAUGCAGGAAGGCAGAGUGAUUGCUUAUGGCUCAAGGCAGUUGAGGAAGCAUGAGGGGAAUUAUCCAACUCAUGAUCUGGAAUUGGCUGCGGUGGUUUUUGCUCUAAAGUCGUGGAGGCAUUACCUUUAUGGCAAGGCUUGUGACAUUUUCACCGAUCACAAAAGUCUCAAGUAUAUUUUUACUCAGAAGGAGCUGAAUUUGAGGCAGCGUCAGUGGCUAGAAUUGAUUAAAGAUUAUGAUUUGUCCAUUCAUUAUCACCCGGGGAAGGCUAAUGUGGUGGCGGAUGCCCUUAGCAGGUCCGGGGUUCCAAAGGUGGCCUUGCCGUUGAUCGCUGAUCUGGACCGUUUGGGGAUCGCUUUGUGUUAUGUCGGCACCGCUAGCGAGGAGACUCAGAUGCUUAUUCAAUCCUCUCUCAUGGAGAGAGUGCGUGCGGCUCAGCAGCAGGAUCGUCUUUUGCAGGAAGCUCGAAAGAGGGUUGGUGAUGGUAAACCGCGGGAGUUCACCAUUGAUGAGAAUGAUUUGGUUCGUUUUAGGGGCCGUCUUUGUGUGCCUCAGAAAUCAGAGGUGAAGCUGGAUAUCCUGCGAGAAGCUCAUAAAACGCCUUACACCGUCCAUCCUGGCGAAACCAAAAUGUACCGAGAUUUGAAACAAAAUUUCUGGUGGAAGCGGAUGAAGGUUGACAUUUCUAAGUAUGUGGCCGACUGUGAAGUAUGUCAACGCGUGAAGGCCAAACAUAAGCGGCCUGCAGGUUUGCUGAAGCCAUUGGAAAUUCCAGAGUGGAAAUGGGAGCAUAUCACCAUGGAUUUGUUGGUGGGUCUACCUCGUUCCCCUCAUGGCAGGGAUGCUAUUUGGUGGUAGUGGAUCGCUUGACUAAGUCUGCGCAUUUUAUUCCCAUGAAGACCACAAAUUCAGCUUCAGAUUUGGUUCCCUUGUAUAUGAAGGAAGUAGUCAGACUUCACGGGGUACCUAAGUCUAUUAUUUCUGAUCGAGACUCCAAAUUUGUAUCCAAAUUCUGGGAGAGUCUCCAUAGUGCAUUGGGCACCAAGCUUUCUCUUAGUGUCGCUUUUCACCCUCAGACUGAUGGUCAGUCAGAGCGAACAAUCCAAACCUUGGAGGAUAUGUUGCGUGCUUGUGUUCUGUCAUGGAAGGGUAGCUGGGAGGAUCAUCUUGCUCUGGCAGAGUUUGCGUAUAACAACAGCUACCAAGCUAGCAUCAAGAUGGCACCAUUUGAGGCUUUGUAUGGCAGGCGGUGUAUCUCUCCUCUGUGCUGGGAGACUUUGGGAGAGAGAUCCCUGGUUGGUCCUGAUUGGGUUCAGCAAACUUCUAAAAAGGUUCGGGAAAUUCGUCAGAAUAUUUUGGCAGCUCAGAGUCGUCAGAAGAGUUAUGCUGAUGUGAGGAGGCGGGAUCUGGAAUUUGCUGUGGGUGACCAAGUCCUUCUCAGGGUAUCACCCACUAAGGGAGUUGUUCGGUUCGGUGUCUCUGGGAAGCUCAGACCGAGAUACAUUGGACCGUUCACUAUCUUGGCCCGAGUGGGCAGCCUGGCUUAUCGCUUGCUACUGCCGGAUUCCAUGGCAGGGGUACACCCGGUUUUUCAUGUCUCUAUGUUGAGGAAGUUCUUGCGGGAUCCGGACCAUCAGAUUGAGAUGGAACCAAUUGCGGUGCAGCAGGAUCUGACUCUGGAGUGUCGUUCGGUGCGUAUAUUGGAAUUCUCGGAGCGUGUGUUGAGGAAGAGAUCAAUUAAGUAUGUCAAGGUCUUAUGGACUAAUCAGUCUGAGCGCGAGGCUACGUGGGAACUUGAGGAGCUGAUGCGGCAGAAGUACCCGGAACUUUUCGUUGUGGGUAAGUGUUGUUGAUUCAUUAAUCUUUUCUUUUGUCAUUCCGAUAGAAGCGUCAGAAUUCGAGGUCGAAUUCUUUUUAAAAGGGGUAGAGUGUGAUACCCGGUUUUGCAAAGAAGAGAAGUUGGGGGUUGUUCUUUUGUUUUUUUCCCUCAUCCGGUUGUGGUUUUGGGGAUUUGGGAUUUUGUGGAAAACAUUCACAACUAGGGCAGUAGAAUUGUUUUGGUUUGAUGCUUGCGUUGGGGUCGGGAGCUGUCGCGUGGGUUAGUUGGGCCGCGAUUGGUGUUUCGGCCCAUUAAUCCUCCCAAACCCUAGCCGCCUCCCUCCUAACCCCCUCCCCCCUUGUGCAGCCGCCCCUCCCACUCCUCCCACUCCUUGGUCGCCGCCCCCCUGCCCAUCUCCUCCUCUCUCAAUUUUUGCAGCCACACCCCAUACCCUAGCCGCCCCCCUCAAUCUCCUCCUCCCAAGGUGCCAAUCCUUGCCGCUCGGAUCAUCGUCUCGUGGUGUGAUUCUCCAAUCGUUUUGGUGGAGGGAAGAAGGGAGGAAGGAAAGGGGGAGAAUCCAAGGUGAUUUUUGUGUUCAUCCCUUGUUCUUUUGCGCUGCGAUUCAAUUGAUUAGAUGUUACGUUUGCGAUUGGAUAGAGGGGCUGUCCAGAAUUUUACGUGGUGGAUGAACAGCGGACGUUCUAGCAGUUUCUAGGUUUUUUUCGUGAAAAAUUAAUGGGGAUCAAUUUGGGGAUCUUGUAUAACUUUGUUUUACCUUUCCAACGAGUAUUUAUGCGCUCAAUUUGGAGUUAUAAAUUAAAAGUUAUCAUCGUUUGAAUUCGGGUAUGUGGCUGUCCAAAAAAACAGAUUUUUCAGAAGGAUGAACAGCAGCAGUAUUAGCAGUUUCUGGGGAUUUUUCGGGAGUAAUUAGUGUUAAUCAGUAUGAGAAUCAUGUAGGGCUUUUCUUAUCUUUCCAACAAGUACUUAUGCGCUCAAAUCGGAAUUAUAUUUUAAAAGUUAUCGCUGUUUGAACCCGAGUAUGUCGCUGCCCAAAUCAGAAAAAAAACAGAUUGCAGGGUUUAUUUUGUGGACCGUUUAGAGGUAAUUAGAUGUUAGAAUUUAAUCAUGAGUUGUAUACAAAACUUGUGGGGAAUUUUAUGUAGUUGUCUCUGGAGUUUUUGUUUGACACCACUGCUGUCCUAAUUUUUAAGUUAUGGAAUUGUUAAGCAGCGCCGCUGCAGUUUGGUUGGUGAGGGGAGAAUUGUUACCGCGGCGGGGUUUGAGAUUGCGCGUAGGUGCGGUGUUGUCUUUGAGUUUUUUUUAUGUGAAUUUGGUGCACUAAGUUGGGUGUCAAAAACAGGUGGUGGACUUCCGGAUCGUUCUUAGGGAUUUUGCCCAAACUUCCGGUGAAGGCAAGUAAACUUGUGAUGGUUAUUCCGUCUGGCAAAUGAGGAGUCUUAUUCUUGAAUAUGUUGUGCUAUUAUGUUCAUAUUCAUAUUUUGUUUGUUUAUUGAGUACCAUCAUUUGAGAAUGUUCAUGUUUCAUGGAUUUCAUAUGUUGAGUUUGAGGUUUGAUCAUGUUACUCAAGUGGUUAUUAUGUGGAAUGGGUGGAAGUAUAUGACUAGCACAUUUUUAUUUGGGAAGAACUUAUGAUGUUGUCAUGCAUAAUGCACUCAUCAUCCAUUGCAUUGAAGUUUCGUCGCGAUCUUAUGGUCCGACCGUACCGGUACAUUGAGCAUCAUAUGUUGCCCGAGAAGGGGUAUGGUGCAGCUUCAUAUCCUUAGAGAUAUGGAGGCAGAAGUCAUUAUUGCAUUUGUAGCCAUGUGCAUUCAUGGGAGAGGUGUGAAAUCUAUUAUGUAGAUGUGGAUAAUCUAGACUUGUGCAUGGUGUUUCUUCUUGGUGUUAAGUAUUUAUUUACUUGUGUACUUGCUGCAAUUUACUGUCCAGAAAAAAAAGAAAGAAGUUCUGAACCACGUGGUUGUAUAAGCACAGUUGAUUUACAAUGUCCUAUUUGUUGUGGUUAUGUUUACUUGCUGAGAUGUGUUAUCUCACAUCUUGCAUUGUUUGAUGCAGGCACCUAAUUUCUGCUUGGGGAAUAGAGGGAUGUAGCAGCACGGUCACUUCACCUUUAAUUAAAGGAACCCCCACUUAAUAAUGUUGUUAAUCAGAGUUGGUCAAGUCCAGUGAAUUACUUUGUUCUUGGUUGAGCGUUUGUUUUGGGUGGGCUGAGUUCCUUAUCCCAUUUGUUUUACUUCAGUUGGGUCCUAAUUAAGUUUUACCACUUUUGCAUUUUUGUUUCUACUACGUGAAUUAUAUGUCUUUAUAUCUUGUAUGAACUUCAUGUUUCCCCUCCUCGUUAUGCUAGUUUUUAAAGGAGGUGCUGCCGGAUUUUUCUUGCUUUA